rnacentral:lncRNA from 1 species
UUAGAUCUUAGUGCUUAGUGUCUGACUAUAGGUUCCUUGUUAGUCUCGAUUAUAAUCUUCUACUUCUACAUUAGGCUAGAUUUUGAUCUAGAUUGUUUGAACACGAGAACUUCAGUUUUUACAGUAGCUUUUCUGAUUCUACGAGUUCCUUCUACUUUGUUUGCUGUGCUUUGUUUGCUGUGGCUUUGCAAUUAUCUAUUGUCAAGGUGCUGGGACUAAUUAUUGAUGUCCAACCAACCACAUAAUUGAGAAUCAAACCUGUAACAGGAGAAACAAAGGCUCUGAGGGUGCUCUCUUUUUCAUUUGACCACAAAUUGGAAAUUUCCUGUUUUAUUUUAGGUUACAGGCAAAUCCUUUUUCUUUUAGAUCAUACAUUCAUUGAAAUUAUGGUUGAUUUGUCUUUGCAUCUUUUUUUAGGAGUUAAAGACAGAAGAGAGAGAAGCAAGGAAGGCCAAGUCGGGUAUCUUUGAAUUAAUAGAAAAUGGAAUCUUUGAAUCUAUUAAUAUCAGAUAUAUUGUUUCUUGGGUUUUUGUUUUUUGGAGUGAAGUGAACAUUAACCAGGAUCUAUUUUUUUUUCAUUUACAUUUGGGUGUUUGUAGUGGUGAUGCUUUUUUAACCAAUUCAUAAUUUAUUUAGUAAUUUUUUUUAAACUUCUCCUUUAUAAAUUGCAGGUUAGAGUCUGUAGAGAAAAGUCGACAGAUCAUAUAUAUGCUAUAAAGAAGCUUGAGAAAUUAUAGAUGCCUUGUUGAGGCCAGGUAUGUGAUUUUGUUAAGCUUUCCUAACAAUUUUAUUGGAUUUCUUUUUCAUUAUAUGCUUAUUUCCGAUUUGGAUCUAAAUGUUCAAGUUAAACAUUUGAAAGUAGAAAUGAUUCACAAAUUAUUUUAGAUUGAAGUUCUCAAUUCGACGGAUAAGCCAGGGUUUUGAGCACAUCUAUGACUACAAUUUAAAUAGACUUUGAAAUAUGAUUUUGAAUCUUUCCGUGGAGUGAUUUUUUUAUCGUUCACAAUUUUAAUUUCUUUUAAGUUUUCGUGGAUUGUUUUUGAGAUAAUAAUGAAGGCAAGGUGAAUCAAAAUUUUUAGUGUCAUUGUCAAUUAUAACCUUAGUUUAAUCUUCUAUGAUUCUAAUUACUACUGAUAUAUUUAUUGGUUUUUUUCCUUUUUGUCUCUGACAUGUCUUUUGGUUAUUUGGUUAUUGUGCCCAUAAUUAUUUUACAAUGAACCAUCCAGGAUUAAAUUAUUGCAUUAUCUAGUGGCUCUUAAUCAACCAUUUUUUUAAAGUUUUUUUUUCUUCCAUAAGUGGAUGGUAUUCAGGUGGGGUGUUCAUAUUGUUGAAAUAUUUGACUCAGUGUGCUACUGUCUCUAUAUUAUAAGAGUGCAGUGCUUUAGGUAUUUUCAUUCGAAUGAACAAGUUUCAUAAAUUACAUGAAAAAUAUUUUUUAUGUCCUCAUCUUGCCUUUUCACAAUUUGGUUUUUUUGUUCUAAUAGUUGGAGGUGCUAGGUGUGCAGUUAUUUGUGCAUGGUUUUAAUCAACUCCUUAUAGGGACCAUACUCCAUAAGUUUGAUACGCCUUUUUUUUUCACAUGUUGCAAGGUUGUUUUGCUUUCUCCUGUUUUGAGAAUUCAACAGAAUUUAUACUUUUGAAUUUAGCCUUUGAAAAUGACAUCACUUUUAGAUCCAUACGCACUUUGCAUCCCACAACUUAUGUAUACCUGAUAAAAGAAAAAUGGGGGGGGGGGGGGGUGUUAAUGAAAUAAAUAAAAGACGUAUGCCUUGACUAUUUCUUUCAAUACAUAAGAUAAUUAUAUUCUAAGACAAAAAAAAAUAGUUAAAAUCAAUAAAAUAAACUUGCUGGACUAUUUUCUCUUGUCCUUGCAAGCCACGACUUUAUAUUGUGGCUUAAGAUGCGCCUCAACUCUGCUUGGAUCCAACCACUUUAGAGGAUGGAGAUUGAAAAACAUUCAAUGAGGGACCAUAACCUGUAAGGUAAAAAACACUCCACAUGAGAAAAUUAGCACCAUCGUUUGAAACAAUCUAAAACCAAAGCAACACAAAAACCUUCUCUUCUUUUCUGUCUUUUUUAAGGUUUCUCUCAGUUUUAAUUUUGUUUUUUUAGGUUAACAUAAAAAGAAAGAUUAUUCAAAUAAAGAUAGGACCUUGAUGGCCAAAAAAUCCUCUUUUUUGAUCCUUUCUAUGGUGUAUGUCAGUGCUUACUCAUUCGAGGAUAUUGUGUAUUCAAUUCUUAAAAUGGGUUGAUUCUUGUUCAAUUAGAGAUAUGAAUUUAGUCCCUUUCUUUCUUUCUUUCUCCGUUUAAAAUCUUGAAAUUGAACUCAAUAGUUACUUGGGCUCUUAUUCUUCUUGUUGAUAUUGUUUUGUAAUUCCAAAGGGUUACUGGAAUUAAUACUGUCUGUGUUUUAAGAUUUGAAGAGUCUCUGGCAUUAUGGAUCUGUCUCCAUUCAAGUUGGACAUUGAUGAGCUUAUAAAUGAGUUUGUUGAGGUGUUUACUUGGAUUUGUUAUCUUGGGCUGUUUUUGCUUUGUUUAGCUAUUGUUUUUCAGGAAGGUUAUUUUGUUUUGAUUGUUUUAACAGUUGUGGUGUUCGGGAACUGUUAGGGUGAGUUUACAACUUUGGCUGAUAUGAAAAGAGUAUGGCUUUCCAGGAAGUUUACCUACAUCUUUGAGGCUAGUUCUCCUACCAAAUUGGCCUUCAUAAUGCAGUCGCUGUAUGCUCAUACAAUUGGUGAGCUCUCACCGACAUGAUUUUUGUAUUGUCAUUGAAUCAAAUAAUGUUCUGUGCUAGAAUCCAGUUUGUCGUCGUGAGUUUGUCUUCAGUUAAAAAAUUGUUGCCCUGGUUAUAUUUUAUAAAGCCCGUUUCUGGUAAUGGACAAGUCCCAUCUGGGGCUGGAUAGUUUUUGGAUCAUGUUGCCAUCUCAUCAUAUUUCUUGAGACAUAUGUAAGCGAGAGCUUGUUUAAUCUUACCAUGCUCAUAGUGAAUUUAGAUGAUUGUCUCCUUGAAAGUAAAUCAAGGAUUUUUUUCUGGUAAUGGACAAGUCCCUUCUUUAUGGGGUCACUCUUGUAUUCAGCCAUGAACAAACUGGGUUUUUGCAUUGUAUUGUCAGUGUCGUUGUGAUUAAUUUCUUUCAUUGGUUUGACUUUUAGGUUUAAAGUGAACAUGCUUAAGGGUUUUUCUUUGUGUGAACUCUCUCUCAUUUGGAAGCAUUUUAUUGCUUUUGAUCAUGCUUGAUCAUGCUUGAUCAUGUUGAGGUGAAUUUAGUGAUGAUAGUAAUAAUGAAGUUAUGAUUAACUGAAGUUUUGUUUUUCCUUCUCCUUUUCACCAUCUUAUUUCUUCAUGUUAUCUGACAGGAGAGUUGAAGAAACUCAAGACCCUUGUUAUAAAUGCAAAAGAACAUGGAAUAAAAGGAGUACCUGCUUUGGUCAAAAGGAUGCUAGAAAAGAACAUGUUUCUUUUUGGGUUCGUGGAUUUACAUGAAGGUUCUGUCAGUGAGACAGGGAACCAACUCACAGAAUUGCAAGAUGCCCGUGUGCAAGUUGCAUAUAAGAAGUAUGUUUUCUAAGAAUGAUAUAAUUUAUUCCAAUCUAAUAUAAUAGCAUGAUUAGGCAGGUUUCAGGUUUCAAAACAUUCUAUGGAUCCUCUUAUUGCUCCACUGCUUUCUUUAUAACAGGUUGUUUGAUGAUAUUCGGAUUGAGCAAUUCCUCCAUAUGGACAUGGUGGUAUGUUGCAUAACUCAUGUAAAGGUUUUACUCAGGUUCCACUAGAUCAAUAGUUGCAAAUAGGCCCCGCCUUUUCCUAUUUUGAAAAUAGAUACCUGUAGGUAUAAUGAUUGUACGAUGCUCACAGUUGGUGCCAUGGUUUUCCUCUUUUUUUUUUUCUUUCUUCAGAAUAAGCUUGUGGAUUGAAUUGCAUCUGCAUCUGCAGGGUAUGUAAUUUGAUUUAGAGAUGCUCAAGAAAAUGUUAACAGAAUAUGCAGAGGCGAAGAAACAUGUCAACAGAGGUAUGUUCUUUUAUCCAUCUCAUGUCCUUAUUUAAAAGUUAUAGACUGAAUAAGCAUCAAAUAGUGAAAGUAACAUGUGUAUUUUUCCUUAAUAUAGCUGUUUGAUAUUGUGGUAGCUGUUGUGGUUGUGGUUUGAAAAAGUUGUUUUAUAAAAAGUAAUUUUGAUUGAGGUUGAUUUGGUAUUUAUGAAUGUUUGGUUAAAACUGUGGUUGAAAAUGAGGUUGAAUAAAAAAUAGUUUAAUGUAUUUGGUUAAUAAUGCUUUUGAAAUUGAGGUUAUAAAAUAAUUUUAAAAAAUAUAUAUUAAUAUUGAUGAUUUUUAAUUUAAAUAUUGUAGAUUUAACUAUUGUUAUUACAUCAUGAAAUAAAUAAUACUUUAUAUAAAAUAUUUUUUAUUGUUUCAUUAAACUAUCUACAAUUCCAUCACGUAUGAAAUACAUCCGACAAGGAUUACAGUUUUUUUGGUAUCUUAAGCGCGCAACAUCAGGUAAAAUAUAAUCAGGAACAAAAUUGGGAUUGCGAUCAAAUUCUGCAAAUGCUACGUCAUCAAGUGAUCUCUGUCUAAUUUAUGUAGUGUCAUUGAAUAAUGUUAAACACUAGUGUUUCGAAUAUAACACAAUUAAAAAAUAAAAAAUAAUUUUAUUAUUUUUUACUGGGUCGGACCUGGUUCAAUGCAUUUUGAGCUUUGAACCGGAACCGGUCCAACCGGAACAGUGGAGCUGGCUACACUGUUUAUGCUAAUUAAUUAGCAUGAACAGUGCGCAAGAAGCAGCAAUUGCUUGCUUUUCUUUCCCCUGCGUUUCGGACGCAAAACACUGUGGGACCCAUAAACAGUAAACUGGGUUUUUUCCUUAACCAAACAGGUUGCAUCUGCGUUUUAAACAAAACGCAGACGCAACCUCAUUACCAAAUGGCCUCGAAUCCAUAAGAGUUUGUGUUUAUUCUUAUUGUCGAUUUGUUACUCAACCCAAAAAUUUCUCUCUGAUUCUUAUCCACAUCAUUUAUGGUGCUGUAUAAACUUUGAAGCACAUAUCAAUUAAUACUAUCUAAACAUGUUAAAUAUGCUUGGUCCAGAUAUCAUGGAGUCUCCAAUUUAUAUUUCCCUUUUAAAAUUCUUUCAGUAUCUAAUGACGUAUUUAAUUUACCACUUUUUUUUUUCAGAAGCAAGCAAGGCAGUAGAUGUCCAAAACAUACAGCAUAUAUCAUAUGAUAGGGAAUUUAUUUGAGAUGAAGUUGAGAGGAUCACAGAGAACUGGAACGUCCAAAGGCAAGUGUUUUAUCAGCAAACAGGACUGAAUCAACGUCAUGCUCAGAAAGAUGAGCAACAACAUCAACCACAGCACAAAAAACAUGAACAACACGAUGAUGAUUUUGGUGAUGAAUUUUGUCAUCAACUGGAACUGCAACUAACUGAAGAAGAACAGCUACAACAAAAACAAGAGGAUGAUGAAUGUAAUCAUGAAUUGGAGCUGUAACUUUCUGUAAAACAACUCUAAUAAUGUAGCAACAAAAUGGUGAGGAAUUAUGCUACAAAAACCAGGACAAAUAGGAAUCCCAUGGUUUAGGACAUAAUUAUCUAGCAAGGUGAUCAUUCCAAUCUGCGGAAUUUUGUGAUUAGACUGCUGCAAUUUGAACCUCCCUUCAAGACUAUCCCCAGGACUUUUUCAGUUUAUGAAAGAGAAAACUGAUUGGUUUUCUGGAUAGGUUUCUCAAGCUACUGUAUUUAUUAUCAAAACACAAAAAGGAUCUCUCUGUAUAAAACGUUUGUCAGUAUAUGUUGAGAAUGGCAUCUUGAAACAACUAGAGUCAUUUUUAAUGUUAUUCUUUGCCAUUGGUCUGCAUCCCCAUGAAGUCUAUAAACCUAGCUUUUCCAGUUCUGUUAGGCCCCUUGUCCCACCCUUCCAGUACCAAGAAUUUUGUUUUCCUGUUCAUGCCAUACAUGUCUAUUGUUGAUUUUAAGUGCAGAUAAAGUUCAGAUUGGGUUUCUGUCGUUUAUUUUGGUCCACUGGAUUCUUGUUAGUGUCACAAUCAUCUCAGGAUUAUUCAAUACGUUUCAUUACAAUACCUCAUGAAUCAUGCUUUACUGAAGGAAGCAAUUGAAGUGUAUUCCCUUUUCUUUUAUGGUUUCCAGCUGUUCUCUUUUAUGUUGAUUAAUAAAAAGAGGAAACAUUAGUUGUGUGUUGACUAUCACCAUUUUCAAUGAUUCAGAUUAUAUCAAACGGCAUGGAGAUGGAUUUUUGCAAGAGUCUUUUAAGUUGUUUGAGCUUAGUUCAGAGCAGAGUAUUAAUUAAACUGUUAGGUAGCAGAAUUCUUAAUUGACCAUUCCCCCUCAAUUCCUCACAUGAUUACAUGAACUAGUAAACUACAAAAGCAAUAAAAUUAGAGGGGAAACAUGUAAGUAUAAUAAAUAUCCCAAUACCCAAACCUUCCAAGUAGCCCUUAACUCUUUUCUAAAUGAAUUUUCCUAUGACUCAAUCUCAACAACAUGAAAUUUGCCCUUCUCACGCAAGCUAUCCAAGCUAAAACCAACCAACCUAGAAUUCAAAUUAUACACAAAAUCAACCACAUUUGAGUCCACAAUGCACUUCCUUGGCUUAGCAGAUGAAUAAGCACCAAACUUGCCACAUCCUUUAACCUCUAUGCAAACUUUCACAACUAAUUCAUCGCUAUAGUUCCCUACCCUCUUCAGUCACACCACUACUUUCACCCCUGUAUCCAUCAUCAAGCUCUGAUAAUUCAACACCACCUUUCACUUCAAACUUUAGCCCCUUAAUGGCUCCACCUGCAUUGAACAUGUUGGUUAGCCCCAGGGGUGCAAAGCUGAACCCAGUUGCUAAAACCUUGAUGUGUGUUACAGUGAAUAUGCCAUGCUCAAGGACUUUGAGUGACACUGGCAAGGCUGCAUUGUAAAGGAGGGUGAUUAGUUAUCCCGUCCGGUGACAAUAGAAAACACAAUUGUCAUCCCAGUUGUUGCUACCCAAUUUUUGAUCCAUGUUUUGAUAAAUUUUUCAGAAAAAUUCAAAAAUAGCGAAAAACAAUGAAAAUAAAAAAAAUACGUUUUUUAAUAUAUUUGCAUCAUUUUUAGCAUUUUCAGCAUCGUCUUAAAAGAAUUUAAUUUUUCAAAGGUCUUUAAAGCGCGUUCAACUUUUAACGCGUUAUUUUUAAAAAAUCAAUAAUUUUCCUCAUUUCGAGUCGAUGUUGAUAAGAAAAAUCUAAAAAAAUAAAAAAAAUCAAAUUUACAAAAAAAAAAGUUGAGGGACUAAGUUUGGUGACCUAGCAACAUUUUUGCCUAUAAAUAGGAGUUUCCAACACAUACAAAAGGGAAGGGGGCAAUUUUGAAAAAACAAAAAAAAAAACCCUAAACCUAAACCUUCACAGUGCAGGCCUCUGCCCCCUUCCUUUGGUUUCUCUCCCAAAACCAGCCAAAGGAAAGCAGCCCCACAGGCCGCUCUCCAUUUCCUUCCCCCCAUUUCCUCUCAUCUUCAACCUAUAGCACAACAACCCCAUUUUCCUCCACAACAGCCAGCAUUCCCUUUAUCCUCUCCUCUCCCCCGGCUUGCUCUUCUUCUUCACCCAUAGAAGUCAGCCGCCGCUACACCUCCAUCUCCCACAUCGGACAAGCUCCCCUCCUCCAGCCGUUCCUCCAGCGCCCACAGACCCAACAACACAGAAGCUCCCUCCUUGGCAGCAUCUUCUUCUUCGGUCUUCUCAACAGUAAACGACCAAAACAACAGCCCGAAGCCAACCCAACUGCAACACCCCCCUCUCGGCCGUUCAGCCUGGGAGCCGCCUACCACCCGAAGCGAAAGGGAGGAAGACGGAAACCAAAGAAGGAUCUGUGGUGAAAUGGAUCUGAAAGGAGAGAGACAAAUCUGAAAAACAAAGAAAUAAAAACCUAAAAUCAACUGUUUGUGCGUUUUUCUCCUUGUUGCAAGUGGCGGUGACCUUCACAGACAGCGUAGGAAGACAAAGAAGAAGAAGACGUUCCCGAUCCACGGUUUUAUUGCCUUUAUCGGCGGUGGCGUGUGAACCCAUGCGCCACCAGUGGUGGUGGCGCGUGGAGCAACACGCCGCUACUGUUUCUGCAGUUUCAGAGGGCUUCCCAGCACUGUUCCUGAAUUUUUUAGGGUUCAUUUCAUAAAUUUAAAAUUGUUUAAUGUGUUGUUUUGUUUAUUUUGAAUUUUUGAUUGAUUUGUAAUCAUGUAAUGGGUGUGUGCUUAAACAUAGUAAAAGGAAAGUGUUGGAGUGGGUGUUUUGUUAUUAUUUUUUAUGUAUGUCUUGUUUAUGUUAAAACUAAAAAGAAAUUUUAAUUUGCAUUGAAUUUGGUUCAUAUUUCAAAAAAUAUCAAAAAAUAUUUUUUCUUUUGGUAACUAGAUUAUAAUCUUAUAUGUAAGAUGCAUUUUUUAUAUUAAAUAGAAAAGUUUGUUUUGUUUUUAUUGAUGCUAGAGCAAUUAGGUUUUUUUAUCCGAUAAGAUAAGGAUCUCCUUACCGAGGAGAACUUUUCUUCUCUUUUUAAGAAAUCAUUGGCAAGACAACUUUCAAAACCUUUUAAAUUACAUCAAAUCGCGAAGCAGCUUACCUCAGGUAGGGUGCGUUAAGGGUGUUAAUACCUUCUCUAACCACAACCAGUUCCUUACCCGUGAAUCUCUAAUAAAGACCAGUAUAUCCGGGUUUCCUAGUAACCCUCAAGUAAAUACUAGGUGGCGACUCCCAAGAACCAACAAGCAAAUGAAUCAAAAAUCACCAAACGGACGCCACGCGGGCGACGUGCAACACCAAUUGGAGUCCGUGGCAGCUUCAAUGAUGAGGUGAACAUCACGACCCCUAAUAGUGCCUGUUAGGGUAUCAGUUGUGGUUUGGUGGAAAGCGUUCUUUAUUUCCGUGCUGCUCCAAGCUGCUCCUUGGCAAUUGUAGACACCUAAGACCCCUGUGAACUUGUUCAUGCUCAAUAUUUUCAAUAAGCUGCAAUCAAAGAAAAACUGUUUAAGAAAAUUCUCCAUAAUGCAACAUUUCUAGGAUAAGAAAUUAGCUAAAAUUCAGAUGAAAAUAUUUUCAUCAUGCUAGCUAGCUUAGAUGACGAAACUAUCAAGAAAAAAAAGAUUUAUCGCACUCCAUCACGAGAAGGGUCAGAGAACAAGUAGUCAGAGGUGGGCCUUCCAAGCAAACAAGCUCGAAGAAUAGACCCAUCGGGAAGUACCACCUUCUUUAGUAGCUCAAAGUUGUGCUUCCCAGGUGCAUCACUGCUCAUAAAAAAUGUUACCACAAACAUUUAGCAAAUGACAUAGCACAAAAAUAUUUGAUGAUAUCUUAAUUUAACAUUGAAAUUUUGAUUGAUGAUGAAGGACUAGGAUUUACUACCUGACAUAGAUGGGUCCACCACUAAUAGCCCUAGCAGAAGCAUGAUACUCUGCAGCUGUAUGUAAAGAAUGGAACAUGUCCCAAUCAGGCAGCAUGAACUCUCCUAAGAAAACACUGUUAUAUGUCACUGCUACUAUAUGAAUGGUGUGUGAUACUGGAUCACGCGGGUAGAAAUAAUCUGAUGCUCUCACCACUGCUGUUUGUUUGGAGAUGCGCCAUAAUGAUGCAACCAUAUUAUUCAAUAGUUUCACCCACAUUUAACUAGUGUUUUGCCUAUGUUUUAUAUAUAAAAUGCCUUGAUAUUCUUUGUUUUAUGUUUUGAAGGCACUUUUGGAUGAAAGAUGCAAAAAGGAGUAAAUUGGAGAUAAUUGGCAGAUUUGACCUUCAGUCGAUGUUUUGUGCAGAGCGUAAGCUCUAGAGGUUGAAAUGAAGUGAUUCUAGUGGAAUUAAAAAGAUAACAUCCAUACCUUUCUGGAAAUCUAAGUCAAGAAAAUAAAAUAAGGAAGAGCAUGAAAAUCGCAGCCUUCAAAGUCAAAUCUCGCAAUCUGCCAGUGUUGACCUUCGGCCAUUCCAACUUGAAUAUCUGGAGCUACAGAAGUCCAAUUGAUGCAAACUCAAUUUUUUUGGAUUCAUGACUCAAAUGUAUAUAAACGCUCCAAAUUUCAGCCAAAACCGAUGUCAUAUGAGGGAGAUAUGAUUUUUCAAAGAUGACAUCUGAAUUCUGCCAGCAAACAGGUUUCGUGAACAAAACGAGUCCAAAUUACGUUCCGAAGCAUCUAAACCGUGAUGAAGAUAGGAAGUUUUUAGAGAAUUGAGCUAAUUGAUAAACUUCAGAAUAGUAUGUAUUUCGUUAUUUUGAAUAAUACAACUGUUAACAUAUAUAUACACAGGAUUGCAGGUUUGAAUUUAGAAACAAAGCUAAGGUUGCGUCUUAGCAUUUACACUGCAUUUACAGUGAAGAUUUAUUUGUCGUUACAAGCUUGAUAUUAGGCUUGAGUGAUGGUUGCACAAUCCUGUGCAGGGGGCAAGGGAUUAUUUGCUGAAUCUGUGGGGAUUUCCUUUAUACGCUCCCGCAAGAUGGAUGAGCCAUCAGCUAAGCCAAUCUUGAGCAGUAAAGAAUGCAGACGUUGGGAAGACAGAGGCUUUGUUAGAAAAUCUGCCAGUUGGUCAUGAGUGUUGACAUGCUGAACAUUGAGAAUCUUCCUCUGAACCAUAUCACGGACAAAGUGGAGGUCUAUCUGAAUGUGUUUCAUCCGGGAAUGCUGAACUGGAUUGAAGCUGAGGUGUGUAGCGCCCAGGUUGUCACACAGCAGUCUUGGUGGAGAGGGAAUUGGGAGACAGAGUUCUUUGAACAGGGACAUCAACCAAACUGUUUCAGACGUAGUAGUGGCUAGUGAACGAUACUCAGCUUCAGUUGAGGACCUGACGACAGCCCGUUGUUUCUUAGAGCUCCACGAGAUGGGAUUGAUCCCCAGAAAUGUAAUGUAAGCUGAAGUAGAGGUGCGAUCAUCAUAAUUUCCAGCCCAGUCAGCAUUAGCAAAGGUGGUAACAUCAAAUGAAGACUGACGAUUUAUGUGAAUGCCAAGGAAAAUGGUUUUCUUCAGAUAGCGGAGCAAACAUUUGGCAGCAGACCAGUGAGUGACUGUGGGUUGAUGCAUGAAUUGUGACAACUUAUUAACGGCGAAGCAAAUGUCAGGACAAGUAAGGGACAAAUAUUGUAAACCACCGAUGAUACUUCGAAAUUCAGUGCUGUUGCAGGGUGCUGUGCUGUCAAGAAGCUUGAGCUGGACUGACGUGGACAUAGGAGAAGAGACAUCCUUAGCACCCUGCAUGUUGGUUUUGAAGAGAAGGUCCCAUAUGUAUUGAUGUUGCGAUAAGAACAACCCGUUUUUGGUGGGUAUAACAUCCAGCCCCAAAAAAUAAUGAAGUGUGCCCAAAUCUUUUAAUGAGAAUUGGAUGCAAAGUUGAUGAAUCACAUGAGUCAGGAAGGAUGGAGUGUUACCAGUGAUGACUAGAUCAUCCACGUAGACCAGCAGAUAACACAGAACAGCUGCACUGUGAUAGAUGAAUAGAGAAGGAUCGGCUUUGGAGUUGUGGAAUCCCAGUUUCAGAAUGGCCUGUUGUAGAGCAGAAUACCAGGCACGAGGGGCCUGUUUGAGGCCAUAAAUUGCCUUGUUUAACCGACAGACAUGAUGUGGAGUGGUGGUAUCUUGGAACCCUGGUGGCUGUGACAUAUAAACUGUUUCAUGCAGGUUCCCAUGCAGAAAGGCGUUGUUUACAUCUAGUUGCCGCAAUGACCAGCCGUGCAUGACAGCCAUGGUGAGAACUGUUCUUAUGGUGGCAGGUUUCACAACAGGGCUGAACGUUUCACUGUAGUCCAGGCCAGACCGUUGAUGAUAUCCUUUUGCAAUCAAGCGGGCUUUAAACGGAGCUAUGGAACCAUUAGGAUGUUGUUUGACCCAAAAAACCCAUUUGCACCCAACUGGUUGGCAGUCAGGAGGAGGCGGUACCAACUCCCAUGUACCAUGCCUCAUGAGGGUUGUGAGUUCCUCAGACAUUGCUAAUCUCCAGUGUGGCUCACGGAGAGCCUGUCCCACACAAGUUGGCUCUGCAGUACUUGGGAGGGGGUGUUUUGUGGUGGUGUUAACUUGUUUGGGUUUGUAAAUGUUAUUCAUGGAACGGGUGACCAUUAAGUAAGCCCGGUUGGGUGCAGGAUGUGAGGGAUGAGGAGGUGAGGUGGGCGAAACUGCACAAAGAACUGAUGAGGAUGGGUUACAGAGAUCUGGCAGGGGAGAUGAGGCAGGUUGAAAAAUACUGGGGGCAGAACAUGCUGAAGGAGAAGAUGAAGAUGUGAGUUCAUGUUAAGUAAAAGACAGAGUGGGGGAUUCAUUACCUGAGUGAGCAGUGAGAAUGGGUACCCUUGCCGAAGUCACUGGUGGAGGCGUAGGAGGAGAUGAAGAAUUUCCAUGAACAGGGGAGGCACUUGUCGGGCUAGGUGUGAAAAAUUGGCUGGAGGGGAUACCAUUUUCAUUUUCAUGAAAGAUGACAUGGCGUGAUUGAUAUAGGCGGUUUGUCAGGGGAUCAAGACAACUGUAUGCAUUUUGUGUUAAGGAGUAUCCUACGAAAAUACAAGGAAUGGAUUUUGGUUGUAACUUGUUUGUGUUAUAUGGCCGGAUAAGAGGAAAACAAAGACAACCAAAUUUUUUUAGCUUUUUAUAAUUUGGAGAUUGUGUAAAUAAAAUUUCAAACGGUGAUUUAUGUUGGAGGAGAGGUGUGGGCUGAUGGUUAAUAAGGUAUGCAGCGGUGGAAAAGGCAUAGGGCCAAUACUGUAGUGGAAGGGACGCAUCAUGUAGUAAUGUGAGACCGGUUUCAACCAAGUGACGAUGAUGUCGCUCAGAAACACCGUUUUGUUGCGGUGUAUGAGGAGCUGUGGUGUAAUGACUGAUUCCAUUUGUUGUAAAAUAGUGUUUUAAGGCAACAAAUUCACCACCAUUAUCAGAGUAGACAGAUUUAAUUUUUAAUUGAAACCGGUUUUCAACAAGAUUUUUGAACUGGGGAAAGAUGAUGCGAACACUUGAUUUUGUUUCCAUAGGAUAAAACCAAAUGUAUUUCGUGAAAUGAUCAACAAAAAUUAGAUAGUAACGAGCCCCAGUGAUGCCAAUUGUACUUGAGGGACCCCACACAUCAAUAUAAAGUAAGUCAAGAGGAGCAUGACUCAAGAGACUAUUUUGACGAAAUGGUUGACGGUGAGCUUUAUUAAUAGAACAUGAUGAACAAAGAGAAAUAUUUUUUUUGUUGAUUGUUGGAAGGGAAAAAGAGUUGAUAAGGUGAGUAACCAAUUUAGGAGAUGGAUGCCCAAGACGUUUGUGCCAUCCGUCAAUAGAGAUUCUUUCAUGCACGUUAGCAACAAUGGUAGGAGAAGACUGCACCAUUGACUUCGGAAGGGUGUAUACACCAUUGUCACACGCUCCUCGGAACAGAACCGCUCCCGUAAUUUGGUCCUUAACAAGAAAGAAAGAGGGGUGAAGCUCAAUAAAAACAUGAUUUUGACGAGUAAAUUGAUGAGCAGAUAUGAGAUUUUUUUGUAUAUUAGGAACACAAAGGGUAUCAUUUAAAUGAAAGGUACGGUUGGGAGAUUGAAAAAGUAAGGAGCCAAUGUGAGAAACAGGCAAACCUGAACCAUCACCAAUAAUAACUUCGUCAGUGCCAUCGUAUUCUGAAUGAAUAGAUAGAUUAGCAAGAUCACCAGUAAUAUUAUGAGACGCGGCUGAGUCUAUAAGCCAUUUUGUAUCCUGUGCUGGUGAGGUGGAAGUACAGUUUGUUGUUGGUGUGUUGUACUGAAAACGACUGUAGUGUUUUGCAGUAUGACCCAUGCGGUCACACAGUUGGCACUUGGGAGAAAAACGACGUGGUCCAUAAUUUUUGUUGCUGUCUCUCGGGUUGCUAGGCUGGCGAUAGUGAGCUGGAGGUUUGUUUCUUUGGCCAUAUGACCUGUCAACGAAGUGGGGCUUUGGGGCAGAUUUAAAAGACUGAUUGUCUUGACCAUAAGAAGCCCGUCGGUGCAUGUAGUUUGCAGAAGCAAUUAGUGGAUGGGAGGAGACUUCAAGGCGACGAAGAUAUGCAUCAUGACUGACAAGGAGAUCAUGAAGUUCCUCAAAAGUGAGUGGUCGUUCUCGGGCGCGAAUAGGACCUGCAAUUUCACGAAAAUCAGUUCCCAGGCCAUUUAGGAUAUAGAGCGUUAGAUCAUCUUCAAAGAUUGGGUGAUCUAUGAGGGAGAUUUCAUCUGCCAACGAUUUUACAGAGUGAAGGUAUGUUUGAAUUGACUGGUUGCCCUUCUUUAUCAUUGUGAGUUCUUCUUUAAGUUGCAUUGCUCUGGUUCUGGACUUGCUUGCAUACAGAGUAUGUAAUUUAUGCCAUGCAUCCUUUGAUGUCUUGGCCAUUGAAAUGAGAGGAGUGAUGACGGUAGAUGUAGAUGUCAAAAUGGCACUGAGGAUAAGCUUAUCUUGCCUUAUCCAUUGAGUUCGUUGGACAGCACAAAUUGAUGUGCUGGUGGGUAUGGGACAGAUUUUUUCUCCAGUGACAUAGUCAAGAAGAUCAUACCCGAUGAGUAAGGCUUCAAAUUGAGCGCGCCAUUGAAGAAAUGUAGAGGGGGUAAGUUUAUCAUUUAUCUGGGAUGUGAUGUUGAGGGCAAUCAGGGGUGUUUCAGUUGGAGAGGGUGGAGUUGAGAUUGGAUUAUGAUUGUGAGGGAUCAAAUUCUCGUUGGAGAUUUCUUGCUCUGAUACCAUGAUGAAGAUAGGAAGUUUUUAGAGAAUUGAGCUAAUUGAUAAACUUCAGAAUAGUAUGUAUUUCGUUAUUUUGAAUAAUACAACUGUUAACAUAUAUAUACACAGGAUUGCAGGUUUGAAUUUAGAAACAAAGCUAAGGUUGCGUCUUAGCAUUUACAAUGCAUUUACAGUGAAGAUUUAUUUGCCGUUACAAGCUUGAUAUUAGGCUUGAGUGAUGGUUGCACAAUCCUGUGCAGGGGGCAAGGGAUUAUUUGCUGAAUCUGUGGGGAUUUCCUUUAUAAACCGAUAUCCAAGUUUUUAUUUCAGCAAUUUAGCUCCUCUAAGUCAAAGCUUGAAGAUUUCAUGCAAGGCUAUUUCUUCUUUUUUAGGAAAAUAGUUAUUGAAGUACUUAAAUGUAAACAGUCUACUUAAUGGAGGACUAUUUUGUAAAAUAGAGACCUAGGGUUUCCUAAGAUAUAAGCAGAAAAGAGGGAGAGCAGAAGGAGACAGCAGCCAGCAGAGAAUAAACACAAAUUCUCUCCUCUACAAACCCAAAAAUCAUGCUUUUUUCAUUCUUUAGAAGUAGUUGUUCAAUAGUUAUGCAAGACUAAGCUCUUUUCUUGGUUGCAAGGACACAACAAACCUUCGGAUUUCAAGAACCGUGAGAUUUAUUCUUCCUUUUAUUUUCAGUUUAUGUUAUGAAUGAGUAUGAUUGUUUUCCUAUGCAUAUUUCCUAUGAUUGUUAUUGAUGAUUGCUAGAGCGGACUCUAAGUUAUUGUUGUGAACAAUCUAUUGCUAAGUUUAAUAUCAAAACCGGAGUUGUGAUAUAUGAACUUGUGAAGCAACUAAGCUUGAUAAUUGUGGCGGAACUACGUUAUUGAAUUUAGGGAGAACAUUUGAACAAAGUGACACAAGCUGCGGACAGCUUGUAUGUUAAUCUUGAUGAAAUUAUCUAGUUCUUAAAGCUACCAUUAAAUUGAAUCAUUAGUGCGGACACUUUGAUUGUUUGUUGGUUAGGAUUAGUUAUACGGCGGAUCCGUUAAUUAAUCAACGUUAAGAAAAGAUAAAAUUUCAGAACAUAAACUGCAAUUUUCGUUUCAAGGAUCGGUUCUAAUUUCCGUUGGUGGAUGUGUGCUUGCGACCAAGAUUUGUUUUCUUGAUAAGUUUUGGUUUUAAUUGAUUUUGUUUGCUAGUUUAAUUGCUGCCAUAGUUUAGAUAAUCACAAACCAAAUCCCCCCCAAUUACAUAACGUACAACAUAAAAAUCUGACUUGAAACUUCCUCAUGGGAUCGACUCCUUACUUGCUCUAUACUAUCUUGUGUGUUUUAAGCUAGGUAAUUAAUUUGUGCGACCGCGACAUCGCAACACAUAACAUUUCAAUGCGCACCAUAUCACAUAAGGAAAAAGCCCCAAGCUUACCAAAAAAAUAAACAAGGUAAAGAAGAAAAAGGAAACUUACCAGUACAAGGCAUCAAUAUUGUGGUUCAUGCAAGCAAUGCAGCCAUUAUCAAGGAAGUUAUUAGCAACAGAAGCAUCGAGGGCCUGAUGAUAUUGCCUAGUCAAUUCAACCCUUCAUCCUAAUCCAGCACCAAGUGUCUCCAAAAUACAUUGAACAUCCACCUUAACCCCAUCGAUACCAGCUGCUGCCAAAUAACUAUGCAACUCAUUAUAAAACUUGGACACAUUUUUUGGAUUUACUAACCCUAAUCCCUACAACGCCAAUGCAUUGUUUUUCCAUGUGGGCUCAUUCUCCACCACCCCCUUUGACACCAUUGGAUACUUCAUCAUUGACCCAUAUUCCUCCAUCACCUUGACUCCUGGAUAGACCCCACCCCAAUAACCAGUAAUAGCAUGCCACACAUACACAUAUUUCAACCCGUGUUUUUCUUUAGCUGUAUUCACUAUGCUCUUGAUCCCCGCUGCUGGAUCAUCUUUCUUCUGGAACUUUGCGUUCUCUUUAAUCCCAGUCAACCUAAGCAACAGUUGCUGAUCUUAUUUCUUCACAUCUUGACAUUGGUUUCCUCUUCUGGGUCACCACCAACUAAUUGCCAUCCAUCAUCAAUGAUCACAAAUUUCGGCGGGGUACCACCAGAAGCUAGACUUUGUAGCCCAGCUUCUACCCCUUCUUGAGUCACUUCUUGAUAAAAGGCAUCCCAGGUACACCAACCAAAAUGAUCAAUAAUUCCAGGCAAUCCUUUCUCAUGCGUUUUUUCCCUUGACUAGCCGUUCUCCUCUUCUCUAUGCUCUCUACCUUCUCUUUUUUUUUUUUUAUUAUAUCCUAGGAAAUCCUAAUCUCUAUUUUACAAAAUAAUCCUCCCUUAAGUAAACAGUUUUCAUUUAAGUACUUCACUAACUAUUUUCGUAAAGAAGGAGAAAUAGCCUUGCAUGAAAUCUUCAAGCUUUGACUUAGAGGAGCUAAAUUGCUGAAAUAAAAACUUGGAUGUCGGUUUAGAUACUUCGGAACGCAAUUUGGACUCGUUUCUUCACGAAACCUAUUUGUUGGCAGAAUUCAGUUUUCAUCUUUGAAAAUUCAUAUCUCCCUCAUAUGACAUCUGUUUUGGCUAAAAUUUGGAGCAUGGAUAGCUCUUUGAGUCAGGAAUCUAAAACAAUUGAGUGUGCAUCAAUUGGACUUCUGUAGCUCCAGCUACUCAAGUUCGAAUGACUAAAGGUCAACACUGACAGAUUGCGAGAUUUUACUUUGAAGGCUGUGAUUUCCAUGCUCUUCCUUAUUUUAUUUACUUCACUGUAUUAGAAUCACUUCAUUUCGACCUCUAGAGCUCACGCUCUGCACAAAACAUCGACUGAAGGUUAAAUCUGCCAAUUACCUCAAAUUUACUCUUUUUUGCAUUUUUCAUCCAAAAGUGCCUUCAAAACAUAAAACAAAGAAUAUCAAGAUAUUUUAUAUAUAAAACAUAAGCAAAACACUAGUUAAAUGUAGGUGAAACUAUCGAAUAAUAUAGUUGCAUCAAAUACCCCCACAUUUAGCUCUUGUUUGUCCUCGAGAAAGGAUAGAUAAAAUCAAAUUGAAAAUAACUAUGACCAAUCUCUUAAUCUCUCAUCAAUCUCCAAGAAUAUAUGCAUAUAAACUAGAAUACAAUCAAGAAGGAUAGAGAGUAUAGAUUUUCAUGAAUUUAUUUACAUGCAAAUUUCAAAACUCAAUUAAUCGUCAGGAUUUAAAUGAAAUAUAUGUCAUGCCAAAGUGAUAGGUCCUCUCAUUGAUAUACACUCCAACACUCACGUGUUGAGGGCUUAUGUGUUAAAUCUCUCAAAUUCAAUCAAUGAAUAUGUUCUACCAUAAGCUUGCUCUUCAAUCUCAUCUUCAUUGCCAACAUAUUACAAGCAAUGCAUGAAUCAAAAUGUUUUAUUUUCCGGUUGUAAUGGGGUUAAGGUUAAGGUGAGGUAAAAGAGAGUAAAAGAAAACGUUCAAACCAAAAAAAGUAGAGCAUUCUGAAAAAUGAUAUUUCAAACAAGAUAUUCCAUCAAUGCACAUAAAUUUUCCAUCUUUAAUCACCAAUGCUUAACUUCUUUUGAUUUCAAGCUCUUUCAAUAUAAAAUCUUAAGAACAUAAAGGAACACUUUUUUUUCUUUUUCACCUUCGGCAACUUUGCCCAUCUUUUCAUCAAGCAUCACUUCUUCUUUCUUUUCAUAUAAUUUCCAACCAUAAUUCCAUGAGAUAUCACAAGUAUAUGCUCUACUAAUCCUUGGCUAGGGGAAAAGGAAAACAUAUAAAAAGUUAAGGCUUAUACAUGGAUAAAGCAAAGAAAAGAUAAAUAAGCUCAAAAGGGGCUCACUAAGGAUAAUAUGCUUUAGGUUGACUUUUUAGCUCAAGUGGUUAAAAUUCUUAAUGCCUUUAUCAUCUUCAUGUAUAUAUGUAAUGCAAAUGUAAUCUCAACAAGAUAUGAAGCAAGUUCUAAAGAUACACAUCAUUGAAAGAAUGCACAAUCAAAGAAUAUAAUGUUGAAGGCUCAAAAUCUUGCAUUGGAUAACACUAUAAAGUCAACAUGACAUAUUUUCAAAGUCAAUCCCUAAACCAAUUAAACGUUAAAACUUGCAUGCACACUCAUUCAUUCGAUUUAUAUCUUCAUCUAUCUCAAUUAAUUCUCAUAUUCUUAUAAACCAAUGGGAGUUCAAAAAGAUCAAACAUAGAAUUUUUUUUUUUUUUUACGCAACAAAGAAAACCAAAAUUCUCUCAAUACCCCCACACUUUAAACGCAACAUUGUCCUUAAUGUUGAAAUAGAAGAAAAGGAAUAGAAGAGAAUGACAAAAAUAAAGUAAAAUGUGAAAAAUAAAAGAUAAAGGAAAAAGAAAGGAAAUCUGAUUUUUUUUGUUUUUGUGUGCUGGGUUAACUCCCAAUAAGCGUUUUUGCUUUAUGUCAUUGGCUCGACACAUCGCAUGCUCAUGCUUCAUAAAUUGGUUCAGUUAACUCCAUUGAAGCGGUGAUUUCUGUCGUCCAACCUUCAUAAACUCAUAAUUUCAACUGCACCAUAAGGAAAAACAUUAGAAACAAUAAAAGAUCCAAUCCAUCGAGAGCGUAACUUUCUGGGAAGCAUUUUUAAACGCGAAUGAUAAAGUAAUCAUUCGGUCAUGAAGACUUUUGAUCUUUUCUAUGUAAAUCCUUGCAUUCUUGUAAGCAUCAUUCCAUAUCUCUUCCAAUAUAAUUCCAGUCUUUUUGGGCACCAAAAGGAUAGGCGCCACCCAUUUACUAUCCGUGAUGGGAUAAAUGACUCCUGCAUCAUAGAGGAUAGUUUGCAAAACUUGCAAAGCCAAUGCUGAUUCCUGCAUGUUUUGGGGAACACAUAUAUUCCUCUCCAUCUUUUUUAUCUCGGUUAAAUCAUAGUCAUAGCUCAAAGCCACGCUUAAUCCAUCCUCACAAUCGAAAUCAAAAACUUGUUGCACACACUUAUCAACUUGGUCAUAGCAUGUGAUAAAAUAAACAUUGCUAUAAGGAUAUUUCAUUGCAUCAUAAAAAUUAAAUUUAAUAUUUUCAUCUCCUACCUCCAUGGACAAAGUAUCCUUACAUAAUCAAUUUUGGUAUUGGUUGUUUUCAAGAAUGGUCUCCCAAACAAUAUAGGAGUGUUGUUUGAUGAAUCACAAGAAUCACGUUCCAUAUCAAGAAUAUAAAAAUCACAUGGAAUAACCAAACUAUCAAUCUUGAGUAGGACAUCUUCUAUCACACCAAGUGGAUAAACAAAACUACGAUCUGAAAGUUGUAUUACAAUACUAGUUUUAUUCAAAGGUUCAAGACUAAGAGAAUCACAAACAUGUUUAGGUAUAACACUGAUGGAUGCACCUAAAUCGCAUAAGGCCCUUUUAAAACUAGCAUUACCAAUAACACAUGGGAUAGUAAAUGCACCUGAGUCUUUUUGCUUCAAAGGCAUAUUCUUUUGAAUAACAACAAAUACAACUUCACCCGUACUUACCAUUUCAUGGCCUUUUAGCUUGAAGGCUCUCUUGGUAGUACACAACUCCUUCAAGAAUCUGACAUGCUUGGGAAUUUGCUUGAUAACAUCAAUCAAAGGAAUGUUGAGUUCCACUUUCUUCAAAACCUCUAAAAUCUAUUUUUCUUUAUCCUCUUUCUUAGACCUAGAAGAACUCGUAGGAAAGGGAGGAAUUGUUUUAAAACUGGAAUUCAAUGAGGGCUUACCUUUGCAGUGUUGGUCAUUGUUUCAAUUUGUGGAGGAGGAGGAUGUUUCUUCUUUGUACUCAAUUCGGUUUCUAUCUCUUCUUCUUCCUCCAUUUUAAUUUGUUUCGACCUUUGCCUUUCAAGUUCUUUCCCACUUCGCAACAUGAUCACACUAACAUUCUCCUUUGGAUUCAAUGUUUGGGAGGACAAUUUUCCAUUAUUUGUGCUUUCAAUUUCCCUACACUUGAAGCUAUUUGCCCCAUUUGCUUCUCUAAUUUGUGAAUACUUGACCUUAUUUCCUGUUGAAAAGACAUGAUAUUUUGUUGUAAGGUCACUGUGUUAGAAGCCAAAGUUUUCAUCAUCUCACGAAGAUCAUCAUUGGAUGACGACCCCAUAACAUUGGAGUUUGUGAAUGGAGGGGGUUGUCUUGCUUGAUAAUUCUGUUGGGGUUGUCUUGCUUGAUAAUUCUGUUGGGAUUGAAAUCCAUGGGGAUGGAACUGUCGACCUUGACUGCCUUGUUGAGGCGGGUUCCCAUAGUGUAAGUUGGGAUGAUCUCUCCAUCUAGGUUUGUACAUGUUGGAAAAGGGAUCAUAUUACAUUGGGGUUGUCCGUUAAAUGCUCCAUCAACUGCACGAGCCUAUUCAAUAUAAUCUUAUUGCAUUGUUGAGCACAUAUCUGAGGUAUGUCCUUGUAAGGAACAUAUGCUACAAACUUUCACCUGCUGUACAUUUCCACAAGCCAAAGAAUGCAUAAGAAAAGUAAGACCAUUGACUUUAUUUUCAACGUUAGAAAUACUUACCUCAUUUACUCGUUUGUUUGAGAAGUCUCCACGGGUGCCAAAUUGUUUCGAGUUGGCUACCAUGUUUGAGAUCAAUUGGCGUGCAGCCUCGGGUGUCUUAUCUACCUAUGCCCCUCCACUUGCAGCAUCAAUGAUACUACAGUCAGUAAGCAUCAAUUCUUCAUAGAAAUAUUGAAUGAGUAGCUAAUCGGGUAUUUGAUGAUGAGGACAUUGAAUGCAGAGUUGCUCAAAUCUUUCUCAAUAUUUGGAGAGUGUCUCUCAAUGAGAUUGCCGAAUCCCACAUAUUUCUUUUCUUAUGUUGGCAACUCGAGAUGCUGGGAUAUAUUUUUCAAGGAAUAUCUUCUUCAUGCCAUUCCAAGUUCCAAUAGAACCUGGGAGAAUAGAGAAAAGUCAUGCCUUUGCUGCCUCUUUUAAAGAGAAAGGGAAAGCUUUCAACUUAACCUGUUCUUCGUCAACUCCAUUCGGUUUCAUGCCAAUGUAAACUAUAUAGAACUCCUUGAGAUGAGUAUGAGGAUCUUCUCCUACAAGACCAUUGAAUAUUGGUGGCAAAUGUAUAAAACCAGAUUUGUGCUCGAAGUUGACAUUAUUGUCGAUGUUUAUGCACAAUGGUUGAUUUUCCACUUUAGGAGCAGCAAGCUCCUUGAGUGUUUCCUGUUGUGCAACAACCAUGGUGUUGACACGAGCUUCUUUUUGUAACCUGCGUAAAGUGUUUUGAAUUUCAAGAUUUACCUGCACUUGUCUUUGGUUAGUAGAACAGGUUACAAGCAUAAAUCGUAAAGAAAACUCAAAAGAAAGCGGCCACACAAGAGAUUGAAACAAUGUAAUUUGAACAAAAAUCCUAUGCUAGAAAACUAAAACUACCUAAAAAGCCUAGAAAACAACAGAAUUUGGCCUCGAUAGGGUGGAGCUAGUGGCUAAAAGCCACUAGUCCUGUUCAAAAUGUUGUUUUUCUUUAGGAAACAAAAGGCUAGGUCCUAAUUCCACUAAAAAAAUUGUUUUGAAUAGUACCGCUGCCGUAAAUGAACAAUACCGCAGCAAGCAAAAAUUCUGUUUCUCUUUUUUUUUUCUCUAAAAAAUAAAUAACAAUCACAACAAAUAAAAAUAAUAGCACAAGAAUCAACUAAAAUUACUUCCCCGACAACAGCACCAAAAUUUGUUGCGAUGUUGCAGUUGCACAAAUUAAUUACACUAGCUUAAAACACAACACACAAGAUAGUAUAGAGCAAGCAAGGGGUCGAUCCCAUGAGGAAGGUUCAAGUCAGAGUUUUAUGCUAUAUGAUAUGCAAUUUGGGGGGGGCGGGGGUUGAAAGUUAUCUAGGCUAAAGCAAAAGAAAACAAAAAUCUAUCAAGCGAAAAUUAAAUAAAAUCGAAUGUUCUCCCUAAGAUUACUAAUUUGGAUCCGCCACAAUUAUUAAUCUCAGUUGCUUCACAAGUAUUUAUACGACAACUCCAGUUUUGAUAGCAAACUUAGCAAUAGAUUAUUCACAAUAAUAACUUAGACCCCGCUCUAGCAAUUAAAAUAAACAAUCAUAGGAAAUAAGCAUAGGAGAAACAAACAUAUUCAUUCAUCAUAGACACUGAAAAGAAAAGGUAAAAUAGAUCUCACAGUUCUUGAAAUCUAAAGGUUUCUGUGUCCUUGCAACCAAGAAAAGAGUUUAGUCUUGUAUGUCUAUUAAACAAUUAAUCAAAAAGAAGAAAGAAAACAUGAAUUCGGAUUUGUUAGAGGAAGGGGGUGUUUUUCUCUCUUCUGGCCAUCUCCUCUUCUCCCUUCUCUCUUUCUUUUUAUAUCCUAGGAAACCCUAGUCUCUAUUUUACAAAAUAGUCCUCCCUUAAGUAGACAGUUUACUUUUAAGUACUUCACUAACUAUUUUCCUAAAAUAGAAGAAAUUACCUCACAUGAAAUGUUCAAGCUUUGACUUAGAGGAGCUAAAUUGCUGAAAUAAAAACUUGGAUGUCGGUUUAGAUGCUUCGGAACGCAAUUUGGAAUCGUUUAUUCACGAAACCUAUUUGUUAGCAGAAUUCAGUUUUCAUCUUUGAAAAUUCAUAUCUCCCUCAUAUGAUAUUAUUUUUGGCUGAAAUUUGGAGCGUGGAUAGCUAUUUGCAUCAGGAAUCCAAAACAAUUAAGUUUGCAUCAAUUGAACUUUUGUAGCUACACCUACUCAAGUUGGAAUGGCCAAAGGUCAAUAUUGACAGAUUGCGAGAUUUGACUUUGAAGGCUGUGAUUUCCAUGCUCUUCAUUAUUUUAUUUUCUUGCCUUAGAUGUCCAGAAAGGUAUGGAUGUUAGCUUUUUAAUGCCACUGGAAUCACUUUAUUUCAACCUCUAGAGCUCACGCUCUGUACAAAACAUCAACUGAAGGUCAAAUCUGCCAAUUACCUUCAAUUUACUCCUUUUUGCAUCUUUCAUCCAAAAGUACCUUCAAAACAUAAAACAAAUAAUAUCAAGAUAUUUUAUAUAUAAAACAUAGGAAAAACACUAGUUAAAUAUAGGUGAAACUAUCGAAUAAGAUGGUCAAAUCAGCACACAUCACUUAAAGUGUGCAAAGUGGCAUCACAUGUCGGCGCGUGCAUCACCAACAACUUUUCUUUUAAAAUAUUAUUUAGUCUUUUGAAAAUACAAAAUUGCACUUGACUUGACUUGAUAAUCACAAAAAAACCACAAUGAAAAGAUAAAUAAGCCCUUAGAUCCAGUUUAAAAAACUCUAAUUCCAAUGGUAACUAAUUAAAUUCAUCUUGCAUUUUUAAGCAAAAAGAUGAAUUUGCCCCUAAAUCUAAGUUAGAUUUAUUUUGAUUUCAAGGAUAUUCUAGUCAUUACAUUGUAUAAAAAAGAGUAAAAAGUAAUUCUUUAAUCUCAAUCAAUAUAAUAAUGAUUGAUUGGUCCUAAUGAAAUUAUUUUAAGGUUAAUAAAGUAAUUACACUAUUCUUGUACACAAUGCAUUAAGUCUAGGUGCGUAGUGAAUUCACUACCCCAAUUAGUUUUUUUAUUUAUUUAAUUGGAAUCAUUAAGUUUAAAUUGAAUGAUCAUGAUCUAGUUUAUGAUAAUAAUAAUAAUAAUAAUAAUAAUUUAACUUUUAAAUAUUUUAUUUAUCUCAUUUAAUUCAUCAAUGAAUUAAAAAAAUGGCACACUUGAAAUAUGACUGAUUAUAUUUUAAGAAUACGAGAGGAUUGAAAUUCAUAUUGUGAGACAUGAAAUUAUAUAAUUUAAGUCUUAACAAACAUUCCAAUGCACAAAGUAAUAGUGAUAAUAAUUACAUUUAUUAAAAUACUAUUAUGAUUUUCAAAAAUAGUUUUUUUUUAUUAACGUAGGUGUCUAGGCCAGGUUGCACGCACCUCAACUAAUCCCUCAAGCCCUGAAGUUAACGACCAUAUAAAUCUCUAGUGGUCUUGAGAGGACUUGAACUCGUGAUCAUUGGAGAUAUGUCCAUAUGUUUUUAAUUGUAUCUAUUAUGUCCCUUAUAUAAUAUGUAAUUCUCUAAUAUAUAUUUUUAGUUGAGUUGUUUUUUAAAAAAACAUUAUGCAUUAAUUAAGGAUUUCUUAAUUUAUUAAUUUUUUUCUUAAGUAAUUUUUUUUAAAAUAUUAAUUAGAAAACUAAUAUACUCAUCAAAACAAUAAUUAGUAAUACCAGAUUGUAUUGUUUCUUGCAUUAUAUAGUAUACUGAUAAUGAAAUUUUUUUUAUUAGCUCACUUUUAAAUUAUCCUAAAGCAACUCCAAUAUGAAAACAAAUGAUGAGUAUUAAUAAAUAAUACAAUAGAGUAGCGUAAUUAUAGUGGUAGAGAUAAUAACAAUAACUUUGUUUUCUAAAAAAAGUGUAAUUAUAGUGUCAUUAUAUUAAAAUAUCGUAAUAAUCAGAGGUUCUUUUCAUUCUUCAUACUUAGUAAAAAUAAUUUUUUAAAAAAACAAUUAUCUUAUAAUAAUUUUUGUACAUUAAAUUAAUUUUUUUAAAAAAAUUUGACUUAUUUUUAGCAAAAUUAUAAAUCAUGAUUUUAAGUCAAAAUAUUCACAAAUAUGUUAUUAAGUUACGUUGUAACAUAUCAAGAUUGAGUUCUUUCUGCUAGAUGAACUCAUAAGUUUCUCCACGAAGAUAUAACGAGAAAGCAUAGGUCAAAGUUUUAAGUGACAUUAACAAAUACAAGUUAUUGACCAGGUCAACUCUCUUUUUGUUUUUUGUUUUUUUUUUUGAAGAGAUUUCUUGAAAAGAAAAUUAGUUUUUUUUAAAAAAAUAUUACUUAAUUAAACAUAAUAAACACCAAUAAAAAAAAUAUUAUCUUACAUUAUAAGAAUUAAUUAAUUAAUUUAUAUAAAUUAGAAAUACUAAGUUAUAAUAAAUUAGAUCCAACCGUAAUUGGAUUGAAAAGAAUCACAAUGAUAAUAAUAAUAAAAAAGAGAAAAUAUCCAAAAAAAAUAGUAUUUAACAGCAACAUGGAUCCUAAAGGCUAAAGUCCAUAUAUAUACACACACACUCAUAAGAAGAAGAAAAAAGAAAGAAGCUAUCGUGCUUUCCUAUCUCCUUAAAAAUUUCAAAUCCUUAAACAAAAUGUUUCCCUUUUAGGUCUAAUUAUGGUGUUGGGUUUGCUUCCAAGCCCAAAAUCGAUCUCUCUCUAGUUUAAUCAUAGAAAAAUCAUAACACCCUUGAUAUCAGGAUGAUUUCAAGAAACUAAGGUUAAAAACCUAAAAUAUCCCUUGACUUUAGACAAAACAAUUAACCCCUAGGGUUAUAUGGUAAUUAUACUGUAUAAAAAAGUGAAAAUCUAAAAAUAUCCCUUAAACAUUAACUAUGUUUUUUUUUUCAAGGGCAUGAGAAUAAUUAUAUAGUGUUCAAAAUACAAUUUUAGAUCUCAGCAUGUGUUUUUUUUUUUGUCACUAUAUAUAACUUAUCAUUAUUAUAUUAUGCACAAUCUAUAAUAAAAUAUUGAUAAAUUUUAUUUUUAUUUUUAAUUUAAAAAUUGACCGAAGCAUCCUGAUCUUUUUUUUUUUUUUAGUUUAACGUGGGUGUCCGGGCCAGCUUGCGCGCACCUCGACUAAUCCCACUGGCCCUGAAGUUAACGACCAUGUAAGCCUCCAGUGGCCAUCAUAUGAGCAACCACAGGGCUUGAACCUGAGACCACAGAGGGAGCAAACCUCUUGGUCCCAAACUCUUACCACUAGGCUACCACCUAGAUGGUUAGCAUCCUGAUCUUUAAAAGAUAUGCUCGGACAUUCUUGCCAACACCUAUUUCAUAUUAAUGGAAAAGGGCCCAUCUAAUGAGAUAAUGACAGAAGCAAAGAUCCCAUUAAGUGGAUUCAAAGUGGCAUAAACUCACCUAUAUCGGUCAUAGACCUUUGGCAACCCAUCGCACCCUCGUCACGGCGUUAACAUCCGUCUUGGACUGAGGGGCGCGAAAUCGGGCCUACUUUUUUUUUUAAGAGCAAGUCUCGCCCUGCCUAUCCCCUAAAAACUAAUUUACUGAAGUAAGGUCCGCCCUUUACCUUUAGGUCAGAAUGCCGCUAUCGCUACUUUUUUUACUCUUUAAAAAAGAGUUCCGUGACUUAUGUGUAGCCUAUAUGGCGAACAAAGAAAAAAAAGCUCAAACAAAGCAAAGGGGCGCUCAUACACUCUCCGUUCUGUAGUGCCCCUAGCGCAGCGCUCAAACAAGCCCUCUGAUCCUGAGGUGAGGGUGCGAUGCCUAUCGAAAUCACAAAAGGUGUAAAAUCGAAUCCGCGUUAAAUGAAAAAUGUCUUGGCAUUGGCUGAUUCCGUUAACCUUCCCCGAUUGACAGAACAUCCAGCUACUGAUACUUGAAAAAGCAGCUUAGCUUUUAAGGUCUCAUUGCUUCAGUGAAUCACUUGAGCCCUGGUACAUUUUCGGUGCCAUGGAGCUGGACCACUGAGCUAUUACGCUUUCUUCAAAGGAUGAGUGUAUAGGACGUAUGAGGAGUCUCGCUCUGUAGCCUAGUUAAUCUCUACCAUUGGGCCUAUACCGCCAAAGCCCAAUACUGCAGAGGAAAUUAAGUGAAGUAGUCGACAAAGAAAAGAAGAUUAACAACACCUUAUGGAGAUGGCUUGCCGUAUUUCUAUCUCGGCCCCAAAAAAGUAGUUAACCUACGAUUGACCUUUAUAUCGUCUACCUCCAUCUCGCAUGAGAAAUCGAAUUCGGGGUGAUCAAAACUAUCCAACGGACUUAGCUCUAUGUCUGAGUUUAGGUUUUUCUCUUUUUUAGCUGCAUGCUCUUGAAUUAGUGAUUCUUAGCCCUCCUAGCAGACAAAAUCAAAACACCGAUAGCAGGAAGCACCUUUCUUGAAAAUUGAGGUAACAUUAACGAUCCUCUUCUUAAAUUAAACAAGCCAGCAGACAGAAUCGCAAGUCGUUGUCUCACCAUUCCUACUAAGUUUGUGGGUUUCCUGCUUUCUUCGCUUCUAAAUUGCAUUAUACAUUACAUAUUUUAAUCCUUUACACCAAUUACAUAAAACAUUCCUUUCAUAGGUAUCUCAAAUUUAAAGGCGAUCCUCUUUUGGAUCCUUUCUAAAAGUGUAUUUCAAUUCUUGCUCAUUCAAAGAUAUUGCUUAUUCAAUUCUUAACAUGGGUUUGUUCUUGUUCAAUUAGAGAUAUGAAUUUAGUCCCUCGCUCUCUUUCUCCAUUUAAAAUCUUGAAAUUGAACUCAAUAGUUACUUAGGUUCUUAUUUUUCUUGUUGAUGUUGUUUUGUUGUUCCAAAGGGUUAGAUAAGAUAAAUAAAAAAGAAAAAGAAACAGAAGUUAGAUAAGAGAAAAGUGAAAAGAAAAUCAAAUAAAAUAAAAUUUAUACAAUAAUUUACCUCCCCGGCAACGGCGCCAAAAACUUAACACGAUCAAAGAGUUGAUGUCUUAUCCCAAGUGCAGGAGUAUCAAUGUAAUAAAUAACCCGGCAAGACCGGGCUCGAUCCACAGGGAUAUCAACUGUAUAAAUUAUAAAUAAUAUAUAUAAUUUAACAAAGAGUUAAAGAGAUCUUUGAGAUGUGAGAUUAAUGUGAGGAUUAAACAAUGAUAAAAACAAUUGUCAAGGUUAAAGGAUCCACUAAUGGUAUUAGAAAUAAAUAUAGUAUAAACUCUUUUUAUUACUCAACUGGAAACCAUACACAAAGAAGGUUCCAAUCGGAUGAUUUAUCCUUAAUAGUUCAUUAUAAAUUUUUAACAUGAUCAUAUUAAUUAUCUUAUUUUAGUAACACCAUACUUUUAAAUAUUAUCAGGAAUUCUUGAUGUUAACUUAUGUUAACAACAAAUCAAGUUCCUCUCAUAACAACAAUGUCGGCCGAAGACUAUGAAGGAUCAAGCAUUUAUUGUACCAAGUGUUAUACAAGACAAAUCUAGAUUAAUUAUUUAACAAGUAAGGUAUUAAGAAUUAGUAAGAUAAAAAGAUAAUACAUAUUAAUAACAAACUUUCUUGGAUAUAAACAUUGAAGUUCAUGUUGAGUUUAUAUUAUACAUAUUCUAACAUCAUUAGUAAAACAUUUUCACCUUGACAAAUUAAACUUAGCUAAACAUUAUGAAGAAGAGAAACAUAAAUAAACAAGUUAAGAACAUAGUUAUGAUACAAGUUAACUAAGUAUAGGAAAGGAAAUGAAAAGCAUAGACAAGAGAUUAAUAUAACAUGAAAGAAAACUUCAACAUUACAAAGAGAGAAAGAAAGAAAAUGAUCUUGAUAUGAACACCAAGAUGCCUAAAUGUAUGACAAAUACCUCUUUUUAUAGGCCAAAAAAAAUUAUUCAUUUGGUAAUUAACUAUUGAAUUAGUGGCCAACUAAUGACUUAGUGGACUUGGUGGUUUAGGUAUGGAUUUGUUUUCUGGACGAAAUGACAUUUCCACAAUCCAAAUUUGGCAAAGUGGUUUCAUACAAGUUGUAGGUAUCUGUAUUAGCUUUCCACCAAGAAGAAUGAUCUCAUUUGGACUUCUAGAACCUGAGAUAUGAACUAAAUAGUGUCUGGGCUGCAGGGCAGAUUCGGACUUCUCUUUUGAUGCUACGAUUUGGACUCCAAAACAGAAAAAUUGAGUCUUAGACUCUUCAUGAAUGUUUUAGGUCUAUGUCUUAGCUUUCUAUCCAUAUAAACCAAACUGAAAUCCAAGAUCUACAUCUCCAGAUAUGACCCAAUGAUUAAAUGGUGUUCUAGUUUGAAUUGAACUAGCAUCUCUUUUCUAAACUUAGCCCUUCUUUGUCCUUUCACUUUCAAUAGUUAAUCACAUCAAACAAUCCUUUGAAUUAUGAGAUAUACCUGCAUUUAAAAUGAGCAUUUACCAUAAAUUAAAGCUAUCUUAUCUUAUCAGACUUGUUAUUAUAAAACAUGCUUAAGUUAGGGAAUUUAAUGAUACUUUAAGUGCAAUAUGAUGAUAUAAAUCCUUAAUGAGAAUGCACUUUUAAGUACUAAUCACUCACCGACUUGAUUUUUUUAUUUUCAUUGAAGCAAAUAAUGUCCUUGCUAGAAUCCAGUUGUCGUUGUGAGUUUUUCUUCAGUUUAAAAAUUGUUGCCCUGGUUAUAUUUUAUAAAGCCCGUUUAUGAUAAUGGACAAGUCCCAUCUGGGCUGGAUAGUUUUUGGAUCAUGUUGCUUUCUCAGCAGAUUUCUUAAGACAUAUGUAAGCAAGAGCUUGUUUAAUCUUACCAUGCUCAUAGUGAAUUUAGAUGAUUGUCUCCUUAAAAGUAAAUCAAGGAUUUUUUUAAUUCAAUUUCUAAUGCAAAUUUUGCUAACAACCAUGCAAUCAAUUAUAGGUCACAUGAUUAGCACUUCUUCUUUAUCACAAAGGCUAGGAGGCCUGUAAUGCCUUUACUGUCUUUAUGAGACUCAACCAUUCAAGCCUCCUUUCAAAAUCUACUUCUCUCUUAGUAUAUUUGCAUUUUCUGCAUGAACUUUAUCUUUAAUGUACUUAAUUUUGAGGUUUAGUUCAUUUUGAUGAGGUUGUACUAUGUGUCAUGCCAUAUUAUGAACUUUUUUCUCUAAUUUUCCUUGUUGCUUAUCUGAAUGGCAGGUGAUGUGAAAAUUACCUUUCAAAAUAAUUCUUUUAUUCUUCUUACUAUAAUUAAUUGAUUAUAUAUUAUUGUGUGAUAUUUGGUUGUUUUGAAUGAUUCUGGUAGAAUAAUAUUUAAUUAAAAUUGAAAGUUACCCCAGACAAACUACUUCUACAAGGUCUUAUUCUUACUCAUCAUUAUUGGUGUCAUGAAUCAUCUUUUCCAUUCCUUUCUUUAUGGGGCACUCUUGUAUUCAACCAUGAACAAACAUGGUUUUUACACUAUAUUGUCAGUGUCCUAGUGAUUAAUUUCUUUUAUUGGUUGGACUUUUUGGUUUAAAGUGAACAUGGUUAAGGGUUUUUCUUUGUGUUAACUCUCUCAUAUUUAAAAGCAUUUUAUUGCUCUUAUUCAUGCUUGAUCAUGUUGAGGUGAAUUUAGUGAUGAUAGUAAUAAUGAAGUUAUGAUUAACUGAAGUUUUGUUUUUCCUUUUCUUUUUUACCAUCUUAUUUCUUCUUGUUAUCUGACAGGAGAGUUAAAGAAACUCAAGACACUUGUUAUAAAUGCAAAAAAACAUGGAAUAAAAGUAGUACCUGCAUUGGUCAAAAGGAUGCUAGAAAAGAAUUGCAAGAUGCCCAUGUGCAAGUUGCACAUGGAAUAAAACUCAAGACACUUGUUUCUCUUUGGGUUUGUGGACUUGUAUAAAGGUUCUGUCAGUGAGACAGUGAAACAACUCACAGAAUUGCAAGAUGCCCAUGUGCAAGUUGCAUAUAAGAAGUAUGUUUCCUAAAAAUGAUAUAAUUUAUUCCAACCUAAUAGCAUGAUUAGUCAGGUUUCAGGUUUCAAAAUAUUUUAUGGAUCCUCUUAUUGCUCCACUGCUUUCUUUAUAACAGGUUAUUUGAUGAUACUCGGAUUGAGCAGUUCUUCCAUAUGGACAUGGUAUGUUGCAUAACUCCUCAUGUGAAGGUUUUACUCGGGUUCUAUUACUUUAGUAGUUGCAAAUAGGACCUGCCUUCUUUUCAUGUUUUGAAAAUAGUUUCUUAUAGGUAUAAUGAUUUUACGAUGCUCACAGUUGGUGCCAUAGUCUUUCUCUCUUCUUCUUUUUUCUUCUGAAUAAGCUUGUGGAUUGAACUGCAUGUGCAGGGUAUGGAAUUUGAUUUAGACAUGCUCAAGAAAAUGUCAACAGAAUAUGUAGAGGCGAAGAAACAUGGCAUCAUAGGUGAUUAGUACUUAAAAGUGCAUUUUCAUUAAGGUUUUAUAUAAUCAUAUUGCACUUAAGGUAUCAUUAAAUUCCCUAACUUGAGCAUGUUUUAUAAUAACAAGUCAGAUACAUAAGAUAUCUUUAAUUUAUGGUAAAUAUUCAUUUUGAAUGCAGACAUAUCUCACAAUUUAAAGGAUUGAUUGAUGUGUUUAAUUAUUGAAAGUGAAAAGACAAAGAGAAGGCUAAGCUUAAAGAAGAGAUGUUGGUUCAAUUCAAACUGGAACAUCAUUUGGUUAUUGGAUCAUAACUGGAGUUGUAGAAUAUGGAUUUAGGUUUGGUUUAUAUGGAUGGAAAGCUAAGACAUAGGCCUAAAACUUUCAUGAAGAGUCCAAGAUUCAAAACGGUCGUUUUCAAGUUCAAAUAGUAGCAACAAAAGAGAAUUCAGAAUCUGUCCUGCAGCCCAGACACUCUUCAGUGUUCAGCCCAUAUCUCGAGUUCUAAAAGUUCAAAUGAGCUCAUUCUUGUUUUGUUGGAAAGCUGAGACAAAUGCCCAGAACUUUCAUGAGAUUAUCUGUUCAAAUUAUGAUGUUAGCAAUGAUGUUUUGUUCAGACAAUAAGAUAAUGGUUGUUACCAAGUCAAGAAGUGGUCACCCACUCAAUAAUUAGUCAUCAAAUCAAUAGUUCCAAAUUUUAGCCUAUAAAAGGAGGAUUUUGCCAUAUAUUUAGACAUCUUGGUGUUCAGAUCAAGAUCACUCUCUCUCUCUUUGUAUUUUGUAAUGUUCAAGUUUUAUUUUAAGUUAUAUUAAUCUCUUGUUUAUGUUUUUCAUUCCUUUACUAUACUUAGUUAACUUAUAUCAUGUUUAUGUUCUUAUAUUGUUUAUUUAUGUUUUUCUUCUUCAUUAUGUUUAGCUAAGUUAAUUUUGUCAAUGUGAGAAGGGUACACUAAUAGUGUAAGAAUAAGUAUAAUAUAAACUCAACAUGAACUUUAAUGUUUGAUACUAACAUGUUUUGUAUUUGUUAUCUUACUCACUCUUAAUACCUUGCUUGUUAAAUGGUUAAUCUAGAUUUAUGUUGUACAACCCUUGGUACAACAAAUACUUGGCACUUUCAUAGCCUAUAUAUGGUAUAACCGACACUUGUGCUAUGAAAGGAACUUGAUUUGUUGUUAACAUAAGUUAUCACCAUGAAUACCUGACCACAUUUACAAGUAUUGGUAUUACUCAAAUAAGAUAAUUAAUAUAAUCAUGUUAAUAAUUUAUAAUCCGAUUGGAACCUCCUUUGUGUGUGGUUUUCAGUUGAGUAAUAAAAAGAGUUUAUACUAUACUUAUUUGAAAUACCAUUAGUGGAUCCUCUAACCUUGACAAUUAUUUUAUCCUUGUUUAAUCCUUACAUCAAUAUCACAUCUCAAAAGUUCUCUUCAACUCCUUUUCAUUUGUUGUUUAUAAUUUUAUAUAAUUCACCUCCCUAUGUUCAACCCCAGUUUUGUCGAGUUAUUUAUUACUUCGAUACUCCUGCACUUGGGAUAAGACAUCAAUCUUUUGAUCGUGUCAAGAGAUAUGUUCUUUUAUCUGUCUCAUAUCCUUAUUUAUAGGUUAGAGAUUGAAUAAGCAUCAAAUCGUGAAAGUAACAUGUGUAUUCUUCCUCAAUAACUUGUAUCUGUAUUGCCUAGCAGAGCUAGUGAUUUUAGUUGUUACCAAAUGCAAAACUAGUUUAUCAAUUCACUUUUUUUUAACACUAAGAAGCUACAUUUACUUGUCAGUGAUUUUUUGAAUUUAUCUAAUUAUUGAUUUUUUUGUUAUACUCUCCAAUUUUUUCUAAGAUAAAUGGCCGGGGUGGUAGAGUUUUUCUAAAUAUAUUUGAUUGCCUAGUUAUUUCCUUAACAGUUUGUGUUUAUUCUUACUAUUGAUUUGUUACUCAACCUAAAAAUUUCUCUGUGAUUUCUUAUCUAUAUCAUUUAUGGAGUUGUAUAAAUUUUGAAGCACAUAUCAUUUAUAGUUUAAAUUUCCAUUUCAAAAUUCAUUCAGUAUCUAAUAACGUAAUUUAUUUACCACACUUCUACUUGUUUUUGUGUUUUUUCAACAAAAGCAAUCAAGGUAGUAGAUGUCCAAAACAUACAGCAUAUAUCAGAUGAUAGGGAAUUUAUUGGAGAUGAAGUUGAGAUGAUCACAGAGAAUUGAAAUGUCUAAAGGCAAGUGUUUUACCAGCAAAUAGGACUAAAUCAAACCCAUGCUCAAAACGAUGAACAACAACAUCAACCACAACACAAAAAACAUGAACAACAAGAUGAUGAUUUUGGUGAUGAAUUUAGUCAUCAACUGGAACUGCAACUAAUUGAAGAAGAACAGCUACAACAAAAACAAGAGGAUCAUGAAUUGGAGCUGUAACUUUCUAUAAAACAACCCUAAUAAUGUAGCAACAAAAUGGUGAGGAAUUAUGUUACAAAAACUAGGACAAGUAGGAAUCCUAUGGUUUAGGACAUAAUUAUCUAGCAAGGUGAUCAUUCCAAUCGAGGAUGCUGCGGAAUUUUGUGAUUAGACUGCUGCAAUUCUAACCUCCAUUUAAGACCAUCCCAGAACCUUUUCAGUUUAUGAAAGAGAAAGCUGUUGGGUUUUCUGGAUAGGUUUUUCAAGUUACUGAAUUUAUUAUCAAAACACAAAAAAGAUAUCUCUGUAAAACAUUUGUCAAUAUAUGUUCAGAAUGGCAUCUUGAAACAGUUGGAUAAUUUUUACUGUUCUUCUUUGCCAUUGGUCUGCAUCCUCAUGAAGUCUAUAAACCUAGCUUUUCCAGUUCCAUUAGGCCCUUUGUCCCACCCUCUUAGCACCAAGAAGAUUGUUUUCCUGCUAAUAAAAGUUCAUAUUGGUUUUCUCUCGUUUAUUUUAGUCCACUGGAUUCAAGUUACUGUGUCACAAUCAUCUUUGGAUUAUUCAAUGUGUUUCAUUAUCAAUACCUCGUGAAUCAUGUUUCACUGAAGGAAGCAAUUGAAGUGUAUUUCUUUUUCUUUUAUGGUUUCAGCUGUUCUCAUUUAUGUUUAAUUAAUGAAAGGAGGAAACAUUAGUUUCUUCUUGAUCAUCACCAUUUUCAAUGAUUCAAAUUAUAUGAAAUGGCAUGGAGAUGGAUUUUUGCAAGAGUAAGUUAUUUGAGCUUAGCCUAGAACAGAGUAUUGAUUAAACAGGUAGAUAGCAAAAUUCUUAUUUGACCAUUCCCCCUCAAUUCCUCACAUGAUUACAUGAACUAGUAAACUACAGAGGGAAGAAAAUUUGAGGGGAAACAUGCAAGUACAAUAAAUACCCCAAUACCCAAACCUUCCAUAUAGCCCUUAACUCUAUUCAAACAGAAUUUUCCUAUGACUCAAUCUCAACAAUAUGAAGUUUGCCCUCCUCAGACAAGCUAUCCAAGCUAAAACCAACCAACCCAGAAUUCAAAUUAUACACAAAAUCAACCACAUUUGAGUCCACAAUGCACUUCCUUGGCUUAGCAAAUAAAUAAACAUCAAACUUGCCACACCUUUUAACCUCUAUGCAAACUUUCGCAACCAAUUCAUUGCUAUAGUUCCCCACCCUCUCUUCAGUCACACCACUACUUUCACCCCUGUAUCCAUCAUCAAGCUCUAAUAAUUCAGCACCACCUUUCACUUCAAACUUUAGCCCCUUAAUGGCUCCACCUACAUUGAACAUGUUAAUUAGCCCCAGGGGUACAAAGCUGAACCCAGGUGCUAAAACCUUGAUUGGGUGUUACAGUGAAAAUGUCAUGCUCAAGGACUUUGAGUGACACUGACAAUGCUGCAUUGUAAGGGAGGGUGAUUAGUUCUCCUGUCCGGUGAUAAUAGAAAGCACAAUUAUCAUCCCAGUUAGGGUCCGUGGCAACUUCAGUGAUGAGGUGAACAUCACGACCCCUAAUAGUGCCUGUUAGGGCCUCAAAUGUGGUUUGGUGGAAAGCGUUCUUUCUUUCAGUGCUGCUCCUUGGUAAUUGUAGACACCUAGGACCCCUGUGAACUUGUUCAUGCUAUAUAUUUUCCAUUGGUUGCAAUCAAAGAAAAACUGUUUAAGAAAUUCCUCAUAAUGCAACAUUUCUAGGAUAAGAAAUUAGCUAAAAUUCUUUGUUGUGGUUUAUUGUCUCUAUGAGAUUAGGAUCCUUCUUUCUUGGAUUUCUUAAUGCCAAAAAACAGCUUUAAUUAUUACCAACGGUAUAGAUAAGACCUUAUUAAGAUUCUAACGGUAAAUUUAUAUGCCACGUCGAAUCCACAAAAUACUAGUCCUUUUACUCGGUUAUAAGAACAUUGACUAUCAUUCCUUCACAGCAAGGUUCAUGUUUUUUCUAUGAAUUUAUGGCUCUUAGCUUGACGUGUAAUGUUUUGAGCAUGUACAGGUGGUGGUUAGGGUUUGGGUGCAUGGAGAAUACAAUGUAUCGUGUGUGGGUUGAUUUUUGUUUCUUUUAGUGCACCAAAACCAUUAUUAGUGCUGAUAUGUGUACAUGUACUCGCUUUUUGGCGUCUCUUUCUUGAAAGGAACAAUGAACCCCAUUUUUGUAAAAAAUCUAUCCUUCAAAUUCAGGACUGGAAAGCUGAAGCAUAUGCGGGCUGAAACACUGUAGCCCAAUCAUAGCAGGGCUUUAUUGUUCAGACAUUGAUACCAUAACCAAAUCAUUACUCAGAUCCAAGUUGGUCCAUGUCUAAGAGAGAUUGGAUCGCAUCAAGAAACAAAACCAUGGUUGUGAAACAAAUCAGGUUGCUUCUAACAACAAAAACUCUUACAGGAAAAAUAAAAAAACUUUUACUUCAGUUUGUUUAUUUUUCUCUUCUAAUAAAUAUGUUUUCUUGCUCAUCCAAGACAGGGAGCAUGAUAACUGAUCUAUGAGACACAUUAUAAGAUUUUGAUCCAAUAAUUCACGUAAAAUUUAUUUUUUCUUAAUGAUUAAUAUUUUUUAAUGUAAAAUUUAUAGAUAAGUAAUAGAAACUGAAUGUGUGAUGGAGCCAAUAUUCUAUGAGAGAAAAAAAUUAUGUUGGUUGUUGUAACCCAAUUUUGGCCCAUUGGCUUUUUAACUUAAUUUUACAGGGUUUAAAAUGUAAAAUUAAAAGAUCGGAGAUUUAUUUCAAUGAAAAGUGUGAUUUGUCAACUUGCGUGAAAACUAGGGACUACAAUAUGCUUUUGUCAUUUUAACCUUAUCUUCAAGAUAAUCUUUGUCUUCAAGAUAAUGAUAGUUAUCCGCUUUCAAAUUUGAUUCUUAAUCAAAUUCAAACUUCAAAGAAGAGAAUAAGUUUGAUUGAAACUUUGUUUCUCACACGCAAAGGAACUCUAACACUAUAAAUACAGAUCUCAGUGUAUGUACAAAAAGGAGGAGGAUAUAGAAAAAACAAAGGAAACCCUAGAGGGGGGAUAAACACAAAAAACCCCAAGAGGAGGUCAUUACAAGAAAAGCCUAAAAGAAAAAAAAGAAACAACUCGAAAGGGAGGGGGGGCUGGCAUUCCACUCUCUACUCUCUACCGCCACCCCCCCUUCAUCGAUUUUCUUUCUUCCUCUUCUUCCCCAGUCACUAAGAACAAACAAAGCAAGCCCUCCAUUGCUUUUCUUUUCCUCUCCCUCAAGACCAACCAAACCGGCAACAACAGCAGCCCCUCUUAGUAGCAGCAGUAAGGCUUGGUUACUUACAAUCACGGGAACGGUGGAGUCUUUAUCAUCCCGGAUGAAAACAGCAGCUCCCUUACUGUCAUGGCACCAUUACCAGCUCCAGCAGUAGUCCAACAACAUCCAGCAAACAACAUUGCGCGCCUCUUCCAGCAAACAACAUUCCAGCUCCAUCAACAUCCAGCAAACAACAUUGCGCGCCUCUUCCAGCAAACAGCAUUGCAGCUCCAUCAACAUCUAGCAACCAACAUCGUGCACCUUGAGCAUGUACUAACCAUAGCAGCAACAACCUUCUUUUCUUAGUAGAGAGAGGACGAAUACACAGAAAUGCAAAUGAGAGUAGGGGUGGCACAAGAUGAGAAGAAAUAGAGGAGAGAGUUCCUUUCCGGCCAGCAGCCUUACGCCUGGAUCACCAUCGCCCUCGGCUUACAACAACCAGGUAACUUCUUCUUUUUUCUAUUUUCCUAGAUUAAUUAGUUUGUUAUUGUUACAUGCAUGCGUGAAUUACUCAAGCAUGCAUGCAACAAUGCUUUUUUUUUUUUACUGGACCACAAAAAUAAAAAUAAAAACAACAAUAUAUAUAUAUAUAUAUAUAAACAAAAAUAGUUUCUAUUUCUUGUAAUAUAUAUUUUGCGGAUUUAUUCACUGGCGCCAGAGUCAGGAAUACCGUACAUUGUGGGUUGCACAAUAUUUACCAACGUCAGAGUUGGAAAUAUUCAUAGGUGAAUAUUCACUAACGCUAGAGUCAGAAAUAUUAUAGGAUGACCAUAAGAACGGAACACAAACAAACCUUUAGCAAUUUAAGACAAAACCAGCAAUAUAGCUUGUCUAAGGUAGGACGCUUAAGGGGUGAUAAUAUAUUUCCUUUCGCGUAACCAGUCUCGUACCAUAGAAUCUCUGUUGACCAGUUAGGGUUCCUAGUGACCAUAAUAUUAGGUGGCGACUCCUUGAACAAGAACUUUUCCCCUAAAAAAACACGAUGCCAAAUAUCGGUUCUUUUUCCAAUCGAGAGAUUAAUUUUUUAAUAGGUCGCCACGAUGUCCGGGUGUGACAUUAGUGAUAAAAAAAACUUAGAGACCAAAUAGAAUGAGUUGUAGCAAUCACAGUGUUUUAUGAGGAAAACUACAGUGCUUUCCCCACAUGAUUUAGUUUUUUGCUACAUGAUUUAGCUUUUCUGUUAAUAAAAUAGAAAAAAAUACAAAGCUAAAUUCUCAAUCAACUCAAUAUUAAAAAAAAUAAAAUUGAUAAAGACAAUUUUGGAAAAAAUCAUAAAAAAAUCAUGUAGGGAAACAUUGUAGCAAUCCAUAGUGUUUUGUGAAGAAAGCUACAGUUGUAAUUCUAACCCAACUCAAUAUCAAGAAAAUAAAAUCGACAAAGACAAUUUUAGAAAAAAUCAUAAAAAAAAAACAUGUAGGGAAACACUAGGGGUGAUCAUUUUCGGUUCGGUUCAGUUUUUUUUUACAGUAGCCAAAUUUGUUUUUUUUUUAAAAACCAAAACUGGUUCAAACUAACCGUUUUCGGUUCGGUUCGGUUAUUUUAGAGAAAAAACCGGUUCAAAUUGGUUUGGUUCGGUUUGGCUUGGUUUCUGUUCGGUUCAUUUUUUUGGUUUUUUCGGUUUCAAGCUUAUAAAACCGAAACCAAACUGGUUAGUUUUUUGAAAAUUCUAAUCGGUUUUUUUUCAUGGUUCGGUUUUUUCGGUUAUUGUUUUUCGGUUUUCUCGGUUUAAUCGGUAUUUCAGUUUUUUUGCUCACCCCUAGGAAACACUGUAGCAAUUGAUUAGUACUUAAAAGUGCAUUUUUAUCAAGGUUUUAUAUCAUCAUUUUGCACUUAAAGUAUCAAUAACUCCUUAACUAGAGCAUGUUUUAUAAUAUCUUGUCUAAUACUAUAAGAAACCUUUAAUUUAUGGUAAAUGUUCAUCUUAAAUGCAGGCCUAUCACAUAAAUGAAGGGAUUGAUUGAUGAGUUUAACUACUGAAAUUGAGAAGACAAAGAGAGGGCUAAGCAUAGAAAAGAGAUGCUGGUUAAAUCCAAACUGGAACACUAUUCAGUCAUUGGGUCAUAUCUGGAGCUGUAGAUCUUGGAUUUCAGUUUGGUUUAUAUGGCUAGAAAGCUAAGACAUAGGCCUAAAACAUUCAGGAACAAUCCCAGACUCAAUUAUGCUAUUUGGAAGUCCAAAUCUUAGCAUCAAAAGAGAAGUCUGAAUCUGUCCAGCAGCCCAGACACUGUUUAGUGUUCAGCCCAUAUCUCAAGUUCUAGAAGUCCAAAUGCACUGAUUCUUUUUCUGUUGGAAAGCGGAGACAAUAUCCUAGAACUUUCAUGAGACAAUCUGUUCAAAUUCUGAUGUUAGCAAUGAUGUUUUGUUCAGACAAGAAGAUAAGGAUUGUCACCAAGUCAAGAUGUGACCACCCACUCAACAAGUAGUCAUCAAAUCAAUAGUUCCAAAUUUUAGCCUAUAAAAAAAGGCAUUUGUCAUGCAUUUAGGUAUCUUGGUUUUUAGAUCAAGAUCAUUUCCUUACUUGCUUUCUUUCUUUGUAGUUUUAAUGUUCUAGUUUUAUUUCAUGUUAUAGUUUCAUUAAUAUCUUGUUUAUGCCUUUCAUUUCCUUUACUAUACUUAUAUAAUCAUGUUCUCCUCUAUUUUAUUUAUGUUUCUCUUCUUCAAUAUGGUUAGCUAAGUUUAUUAUGUCAAGGUAAAAAGGUUUCACUAAUGGUGUUAGGAUAAGUAUAAUAUAAACUCAAUAUGGACUUUAAUGAUUAUAUCCUAAACAACCUAGUAUUAACAUGUCUUAUCAUUUUUAUCUUAUUAAUUCUUAAUACCUUGCUUGUUAAAUGGUUGAUCUAAAUUUGUGUUGUAUGACACUUAGUACAACAAAUGCUUGGCACUUUCAUAGCCAACCGUAUGGUAUAACCUACACCUAUGCUAUGAAAGGAACUUGAUUUGUUGUUAACAUAAGUUAGCAUCAUGAAUUCCUGACAAUAUUUAAAAGUUUGGUGUUACUUAAAUAAGAUAAUUAAUAUGAUCAUGUUAAUAAUUUAUAAUGAGCUAUUAAUGACAAAUCAUCCGAUUGGAACCUCCUUUGUGUGUGGUUUCUAGUUGAGUAAUAAAAAGAGUUUAUAUUAUACUUAUUUGAAAUACCAUUAGUGGAUCCUCUAACCUUGACAACUGUUUUUAUCAUUGUUUAAUCUUCACAUUAAUCUUACAUCUCAAAGUCUUCUUUAACUCAUCAUCAUCAUCAUCAUCAUCAUCAUCAUCAUCAUCAUCAUCAUUAUUAUUAUUAUUAUUUAUAAAGUUAACCUCUUUGUUGUUCGAUCCCGGUCUUACCGGGUUAUUUAUUACUUUGACACUCCUACACUUGGGAGAAGACAUUAAUCUUUUGGUCGUGUCAAGUUUUUGGCACCGUUGCCAGGGAGGUAAAUUCCUGUAUAAAUUAUAAUAUUUAUUUUAUUUUCUCUUUUCACUUUUCUUGUAUCUAACUUUGUUUCUUUUUGUUUUGUUUCUUUUUGUUUUGUUUCUUUUUGUUUUGUUUUCUUCUUCCAUUUGCAUGAGAGUUUAAGUGGUAGACUUUGUAGGGUAUCCUCAUCAUUUUCAGAAAAUAUGGCUAAAGAAGAUAACCAAAGAAGAUAACCAGUCGCUUCAUAAUGAGAAUAAUGAGAAUAACUGUGUUAGAACACUUAGAGACCACAUGAAUCUCACAAGAAUUUUCCCCCCUGAUACAUCUCAUUUUAAUUUUAAGCCAGACAUUAUUCAACUUUUACCUUCUUUUCAUGGCUUAGAUCUAGAAAAUCCAUACUUGCAUUUAAGGGAAUUUGAAGAAGUCUGUAACACCUAUAAUGACUCAAAUUGUAGCAUGAAAACCAUCAGAUUAAAGCUUUUUCCUUUUUCAUUAAAAGAUAAAGCCAAAACAUGGCAACAAAAUCUUAGGUCAGGAUCCAUUCGUGCUUGGGAUGAAAUGCAACAACAAUUUUUAAAGAAGUUUUUUCCGUCCCACAGAACAAACUCUUUCAAAAGACAAAUCAUCACUUUCACUCAAAAACCAGGAGAAACAUUUUACCAAUAUUGGGAUAGGUAUCGAGACUUGCUUAAUACUUGCCCUCAUCAUGGUUUUGAAACUUGGAGAUUGGUUUCACAUUUUUAUGAAGGGUUAACUCCUAGAGAUAGACAAAUGGUGGAAUUGAUGUACAAUAAAACUUUUAAAGAUAAAGACCCUAAUGAAGCAAUGGAGUACCUAGACUUGCUAGCUGAAAAUGCUCAAAAUUGGAACAUUACAGGCACUUAUGAGGCACCAAGUAAAACCCAACCACAUACAUCUAGUGGAGGUAUAUACAACCUUAUGGAAGAUCAUGACCUCCAAGCCAAGUUUGCAUCUUUAGCUAGAAAAGUCGAGGCACUAGAAUUGAAAAAGAGUGGUCAAUUAAAAUCUGUUCAAGACAUUGUGUGUCAAAUAUGUGAAACCAAUGAACACUCAACCAAUAACUGUCCAACUUUGCCUUCUUUCAAGGAAUGCCUCCAUGAACAAGCCCAUGCUUUAAACAGUUUCCAAAGGCCCAAUCAUAACUCAUACUUGCAAACAUACAACCCUGGUUGGAGAAAUCACCAAAAUUUCAGUUGGAAGAGUGAUAACAAUAAUGCACAAACUUCACAGCCACCAUUUCAAACACAUCAUAAUUUCUAAAAUUCUCAUGGAUAUGCACCUCUUUAUGCUCCACCUCCUAGAAGAAAUCUUGAGGAAACAUUGCAUCCAUUCAUUGAAAAGCAGGAGACAAUCAACACUCAACUUGCUCAAAGCAUGACAGAUUUUAAAGAUACUCUUGCAAAAUUGACAUCUGCUCUCAGUUUUCAAGAGAAAGGUAAGUUUCCAUCUCAACACAGAAAAAUCCAAAGGGGCAAUACAAUGCAAAUGCAAGUAGUUCGGGAAGCCAACACAUGGAUCAAGCCAAAUUAGUCAUCACUCUUCGUAGUGGUAAGGUUAUUGAAAAACCCAUUCUUGAACCUUGUGAGAAAGAUGAUGAGUUAAUCUUUGAGGGUAAGGAAGAGGUUAAAUCUGAACAUUGCAAAGAAAAGACUGAUUCUUCGCCAGCACUUCCAUUUCCUCAUGCCAUGACCAAACAAAGGAAAGUCAAUCACAACUCUGAAAUCUUUAAAACUUUCAAACAGGUAAGGAUCAAUAUACCUUUGCUGGAUACUAUUAAACAGGUACCUUCUUAUGCUAAAUUUUUGAAAGAUUUGUGCACUAUGAAGAGAAAACUGAAUGUGAAAAAGAAAGCCUUUUUAGCCGAACAAGUAAGUGUCAUUCUUCAGAACAAUAAUGAUUUGAAAUAUAAAGACCCUGGUUGUCCUACAAUUUCUUGCUUUAUUGGAGAACAUAAAAUUGAAAGAGCUUUACUUGAUCUUGGAGCUAGUGUGAAUUUACUUCCAUAUUUAGUUUAUCAAAGUCUCAAUCUAGGUGAGUUAAAACCAACUUCUGUAACUCUUUUACUUGCCGAUAGAUCUGUAAAAGUGCCUGGAGGAAUAAUUAAAGAUGUGUUAGUACAAGUCAAUAAAUUCAUUUAUCCUGUGGAUUUUAUUGUCUUGGACACACAACCUGUUGAAGCAUGUAAUUCAUUUCCUGUUAUUUUAGGACGUCCGUUUCUUGCAACUUCUAAUGGAUUGAUCAAUUGUAGGAAUGGACUGAUGAAGCUAUCUUUUGGAAACAUGACAUUGGAGAUGAAUAUUUUCAACAUUUGCAAGCAACCUGGAGAUGAUAAUGAUUUACAGGAAGUGGACUUUACUGAAAAAUUAGUUCAUCAUCAAUUUCAAACCAUUUCUAGUGAAAGUGAGAUUGAUGAAUCUGAUGAUUUGCAAAUGGUUUAUUUUCAGGAAGAAUCAAAGGUAAAUAGUUGGAGACCAAAAAUUGAGGAAUUGCCACCACGAUCAAUUGAGUCCAUACCUUCAAGUGUUCAACCACCAAAACCUGAUUUGAAGCCGCUACCAUUCAAUCUCAAAUACUCAUUAUUGGGAGAAAAUGAAACUUUUCCUGAAAUAAUCUCUUCCAAACUUAAUGCACAUCAAGAAGGUAAGUUAUUACAAACUCUGAAAAUGCACAAAAAUGCAUUAGGAUGGACCAUAGCUGACAUAAAAGGAAUUAGUCCUUUGAUUUGCACACACACAAGAUUUAUUUGGAGGAAAAUGCUAAACCCUCUAGAGAAAUGCAACGAAGGCUUAAUCCUAAUAUGAAAGAAGUAGUGAAAAAAAAAUUCAUUAAGCUUCUAGAUAAUGGAAUCAUUUAUCCUAUUUCUGACAGCAAAUGGGUAAGUCCUACCCAAGUUGUACCCAAGAAGUCUGGAGUCACUGUGAUAACAAAUAAGAAAAUGAGUUAAUUCCAACUAGGCCUAUGACUGAUUGGCGCAUGUGCAUUGACUGUAGGAAACUUAAUUCAAUGACUAGAAAAGAUCAUUUUCCUUUACCUUUCAUGGAUCAAAUCCUAGAAAGAGUUGCAGGUCAUGAAUUUUAUUGUUUCCUAAAUGGCUAUUCAGGUUACAACCAAAUUGAAAUUGCAUUGGAAGAUCAAGAGAAGACUACUUUUACAUGUCCAUUUGGUACUUUUGCAUAUCGAAAGAUGCCUUUUGGAUUAUGUAAUGCACCAGCCACAUUUCAAAGAUGCAUGCUCAGUAUAUUUAGUGAUAUGGUUGAACGUUUUCUUGAAAUUUUUAUGGAUGAUUUUUCUGUUUUUGGCGAUUCAUUUGAUGAUUAUUUGACUAACUUAGAAAAGGUUUUGAGCAGGUGUGAAGAGAAGAAUCUUGUAUUGAAUUGGGAAAAAUAUCACUUUAUGGUAACAAACGGAAUUGUGCUUGGUCACAUUGUUUCAUUGAAAUGAAUUGAGGUUGACAAAUCUAAAAUCGAGUUAAUUGUUAACUUGCCAACACCAAAAUUAAAGAUGUUAGAUCAUUCUUAGAACAUGCUGGUUUUUAUAGAAGGUUCAUGACACGAUCAAAGAGUUGAUGUCUUAUCCCAAGUGCAGGAGUGUCAAAGUAAUAAAUAACCAGGCAAGACUGGGGUCGAACCACAGGGAGGUCAACUAUAUAAAUUACAAAUAAAGAUAAAGAUUUGAAGAGAAUAAUAACAUAAAAGGAGUUGAAGAGAGUUUUGGGAUGUGAUAUUGAUGUAAGGAUUAAACAAUGAUAAAACAGAUGUCAAGGUUAGAUGAUUCACUAAUGGUAUUUCAAAUAAAUAUAAUAUAAACUCUUUUUAUUACUCAACUGGAAACCACACACAAAGGAGGUUCCAAUCAGAUGAUUUAUUGUUAUUAGCUCAUUAUAAAUUAUUAACAUGAUCAUAUUAAUCAUCUUGUCUAAGUAACACCAUACUUAUAAAUAUCAUCAGGCAUUCAUGUUGCUAGCUUAUGUUAACAACAAAUCAAGUUCCUCUCAUAACAACGAUGUCGGUCGAAAACUAUGAAGAAUCAAGCAUUUGAUGUACCAAGUGUUAUAUAACACAAAUCUAGAUUAACCAUUUAACAAGCAAGGUAUUAAGAAUUAGUAAGAUAAAAAGAUAAGACAUGUUAAUAGCAAACUUUCUUGGAUAUAAACAUUGAAGUCCAUGUUGAGUUUAUAUUAUACAUAUUCUAACACCAUUAGAGAAACCUUUUUACCUUGACAUAAUAAACUUAGCUAAACAUAAUGAAGAAGAAGAACAUAAAUAAACUAGAUAAGAACAUAGUUAUGAUGAAAAGCAUAAACAAGAAAUUAAUGAAAGCAAAACUUAAGCAUUACAAAAUAUAAAAAAAGAAAGUAAGAACAUGAUCUUGAUCUAAAAACCAAGAUGACUAAAUACAUGGCAAAUGCCUCCUUUUAUAGGCUAAGAUGUGGAACUAUUGAUUGGUUGACAAACUAUUUGGAUGGUGGCCAACCACUGAUUUGGUGGCUGGUUUUUGACAUUAUUGGCUGCUGGUUAUUGACAUUGUUGGCUGGUUAUUGAUAUUGUUGGCUGGCCAAAACGUCAUUUCUAACAUCAUAAAUUGAGCCAUUUGUUCCAUGAAAUCUGUGGGCAAUUGUCUUAGCUUUCCAACAAAAAAAACCAGAGCUCAUUUGGACUUCUAGAACUCAAGAUAUGAGCUGAAAAUCAAACAGUGUUUGAGCUGCAGGACAGGUUCGGACUUCUCCAUUGUUGCUAAGAUUUGAACUUGAAAACGGUAGAAUUGAGUCUUGGACUCUUCAUGAAAGUUUUAGGUCUAUGUCUUAACUUUCCAUCCAUAUAAAGUAGACCUAAAUCAGAGUUCUACAACUCCAGUUAUGAUCCAAUAACCGAAUAGUGUUCCAGUUUGGAAUUGAACCAGCAUCUCUUCUCUUAGCCUAGUCCUUCUUUUGUCUCUUCACUUUCAAUAGUUAAUCACAUCAAUCAAUCCUUUGAAUUGUGAGAUAUACCUGCAUUCAAAAUAAGCAUUUACCAUAAAUUAAAGAUAUAUUAUAUUAUCAGAUUUGUUAUUAUAAAACAUGCUUUAGUUAGGGAAUUUAAUGAUACUUUAGUGCAAUAUGAUGAUAUAAAGCCUUAAUAAAAAUGCACUUUUAAGUACUAAUCAGUUCAUCAAAGAUUUUAGUGUAAUAUCUAAGCCCUUGAGUAACCUUCUAACAAAGGAUAAUAUUUUUUAAUGGACUGAACAUUGUGAAGAAGCUUUUGUUAAACUUGUUGCUACCUAAUUUUUUACCCAUGUUUUGAUAAAAAAAUUUUAAAAAAUAAAAAAUAAAAAUAAAAGGAUUUACAUGUGGCGAUAACAUAGAGCAUCAGGGUUAAGGAAACAAUAUGUCAAGGAGAUAAUUACUGAAUCAUAUAUAACUACUGCAAUAUAAAAUACCAUAGAUAUAUGAUUUGAUUCGUGCUGUUUAGGAAAAAUAAUCACUGCAAUAGAAAAAUACCAUAUAUAUAGGAUUUGUUGGUGCUGGUUAUAGAAGACAAUCUCUGUAAUAAUUAUUAUAAUAUUUCUUUAAAUAACACGUAUAGAGAUUUUCUAUAUAAAUGAACAUCCAGCCAUAUACAGAGGGGGGGAAGAAAAUUUACAGAGGACAAAUUUUUUUUAAAGAGAGAAAUUUAGGGCAACCAUAAAAAAACCUAAACCUAAUUUUUUUCUCUCGGCCGAAAACAAGCCAUCGCCCCCUCUCCCCUGUUGUUUUUUUGGUUUGCAGUCUCCCCCCCAGCUAUCUUCUUCUCCUCCCUCAGCUCCCACACGCAUGACCUUCCCUUUACGCAAAAAGAGGCUUUUAAAGCGCUCUGAAUUUCCUUAGAUUUCUAAAUUUUUGUCUCUCCUCCUUGCGAUUUACGAGUCGCAAAACUCUUGAAAUACUAAGGGAAAAAUGAGCUUUUAAAGCACAUGGAAUCUCUUUGGAUUUCUAUCUUAAUAAAUUUAGUCUGAAUCAAACACAGAUUUCAAGAGAUCUGCAUCGGUUCUCCUUGGUACUUUGUAGACAUAUCUAAGGGUGUGAUCCACAUUGACCAAGGGUUAUUUCUUUUUUAAAACUUUCAGUCCAAGUUUGUUCGUCAUAGCAAAAUGUAUCCUAGGAAAACACCAACACCAUAACAAUUAUAAAGCAAACCAAACACCAAGCAGCUUACCUUAGGUAGGGCGUGCUAGGGGUGCUAAUACCUUUCCUUUACGCAACCAGUCCCUUGCCUUAAAAUCUCUGAAAGACCAGUUAGGUUUCCUAGUGACCAUAAUACUAGGUGGCGACUCUAUUAUUCACAAAACAAAAGACCCCGAAAUCAAUCGAGGAUCGCCGCGACACCGCGCUCCGCUCGCGAGGGUGCGACAGGAUGGCGACUCCACUCGGGACCCUAGGACUAAGCUUGGUAAUUGUUUUUUUUAUUAUGCUAUGUGUUGUUUGUUUUCUUAUAUGAAUGAUACUUUGUUUAAAAGCUUUAGCAUGCAUCUUUACAUUCUGUCAUACAUGGUAUAGUCAUGCAUCACUUUAUUAUUAUUAUCUUUUUUAGGGCACACACAUUUAACUUUAAGUUAAGUGGGGAACUAGCAACUUGCCUUAUGACUUGAGUCAAGGUUUAAGUUUGUGUAAACCCCAACUCUUUGCUGAGUGUUUAGAUUGAUAUUGAUUGAUACAUGUGCCAUCCCACUAUCUGCUAAACCCCCAUAUUACCUUUACGAGGGCGAUCACUGGGACAGCAAGAGACCCUUUUUUAGAGACCACGUAGUAAACCUACCAUAUGUCUCACGUAAAAGAACUAGAACCUAUCCUUAGGUUGUAUGCUCCAUAAUAUCUUUUGCAUCAAAACUAGUCUAACCCCAAGGCAUCUUGAAUUCCAGGACUUGUGAACGAAAUGGCCACCAUCACUAAAUCUUCCAUCAUAGAGUAUGGGAAAAAUUCUGAACUGUCACAAUUGACUGAAGGAGACUGCCUUAGAAGCGAUGCUAAGAAGAUGUCACCAAUCAAGAACCUGAAUUGCAUUAUGAAUGAGGUGAACAAGUUAACGACUCAUUUUCAGAAUGUUGAUAAAGAUGCAUUUUUUAGGAAAUACGGACGUUUGGUGGAAAUUGCAAAGGUAGAAGUUUUAAGCCCAGCUGUGCGAGCUUUAGUUCAUUUUUGGGAUCCAGACUACCGGUGUUUUUCUUUUGGAAACAUAGACCUAUGUCACACUAUUGAGGCAUAUGGGAUAUUGACUGAGUUUCCAAACAAUCUGUAUCAGAUUUAUUUGCCUUUGAGAUCUGACAAGAUCAUCCCCGAACUGUCAAAACUGCUCAGAAUCUCCAACUUAGAAAAGUUUUUGGAAAAGAAUGCUAUCGGUUUGAAAUGGAGGAUGCUAGAAAUUGAACUUGAAAAGAAGUCAGGAUUAGAAAAAGAGAGAUUGAUUGCCUUGGGCGUAUUUGGCCUUGUGUUGUUCCCAAGCCAGACGGGUGUAGUGAGUUUGAAGGCCGCUGCUGCUUAUGUAGAGUAUGAGAAUACACAAAUCAAUCCAAUGGCUGCUAUUUUAGCCGAAACCAUCUUGACACUUAACCAUUGUAGGAGGACCGGAAAAGGAGCAAUGAGAUGCUGCACGUAAUUGUUGUAUAUCUGGAUGGUUAGCCAUAUCGAAAUAAAAAAGUCUGUCUUCAAUAAUUUUUGGUGGUUCACCCAAAGACCCCUGAAGGUAGUAGAAGAAGAAGAAUGGGGAGAUCUAGACAACCAAGGUUGGGUUGAAAAAUUAGAAGGUUUGCCUAAUAGUGAUUUUAAGUGGAAAGCCCCAUGGGUAACGACAGUGAAAGUCCUAAUGAGUUGUGGACAAAGACGUUGGGUGCCAUUGGUAGGGAUUACAGGUUAUGUGAGUUAUGCUCCUGCCCUAGUGGUAAGGCAACUUGGGGGCAUGCAGUUUGUUCCAAGGACUAUGGGAAUUGCUCAGUUCUUUGGUUUGUUCAAAGAUCCUGUUGCACAAGAAGUUUUGGAGAUCAUUAAACAAGAUUGAAAGCAUCUGGUUUUGGUUGAGAUAGAAGGUUUAAAGGAUCCAAGUGCAAGUGAAGGAUAUGCAAGAUGGAGAGACUUAGCAGCUUCAGCCAUGCCUUGUGUAGGAGUCAAAUCUCCCCAAACUGUAGAAGAGCCUAUUAAGAGGAAAAGGGUCAAUAAUGAAGAGGAGUUGAGAAGACAAGUGGAAAAACUUCGGAUAGAGUUGAGCAAAAGCAGAGAAGACAAGGCAAUGUUGGAAGAAAUGAUGCUAAAAGAAGAUAAAAGGAGAGCAUUUCUAGAUGAGCAAAUACAAUCUAGAGAUGCGCGAAUAACAAAGCUUGAGUUAAAGCUGGGUGAGGAGAAGAUUGCUAGGGAAAGAAGUGAGAAGAAGCUAAGAAGGAUGAGUUUGGAUUGGAUGCAAAGUUGCUCUAAACUUGAAGCAAUAGAGAUUGACUUUAACGAUUGCUAAGCAAGUGCAUAAUAUUACCAAGAAAAAUUUGCACAAGUCCAGUUCGAACUGAUGGAUAGGAUUGGGAAGUAUGAGGAUUUGAACAAGAAAUAUAUGGAGUUAGAAAGCCGUUCGAUGGGGAUUGCAAAAAAAGAAAGUAAAAGGAAAGGUUUUGAGGUGGUUGAAAUAGAAUUAGCGGUUAAGAAGAAUGAGAUAAAAGUUAUGAGGAUAAAACUUGACAAGGAACGUGAAAAGGUGAAGUAUUUGAACGAGAAGCUAGCAGCAAUGGAAAAACACAAGGAUCAAAUCGACGCCAAUAACACUGCUUUGAACAGAACCAAUAUGUUGCUCAUAGAAAAGAUGACCAAGACAGAUGAGCAAAUGGACGAAGCUGCUGCACAUGCUCGAAUUAUUAGAAUCAAUACGCGGAAUGUGGGAGGGGACAUCAUUCGCUAUCGCCGAAGUCUAGCUGAAACCGAUGCCUUUCUAGGGAAGAUUGAGAACCACGACUUUGCCUUAUUACCUUUGGCUAGAGAGUUUGUGGAGGAAAGGGAUUAACAUGUUGUAUUUCCUUUUUAUUUCUAAAUGUAAUAAACUUAUCAAACAUUAAUGAAAAGGGCGUUGACCCAUCUUCUUAUGCAAAAUCUGUCUCUUGGUGAAUAUGAUUCAAGCAAACGACCUGAAAGGCAGUACUCCUAUCAAAGCAAUGUGACAAGAGAACCUAUGUUUAUAAUGUGGUGGCUAUUAUUCGUUCACAAGAAGGCUGCAUCCAUACCCAAUGUACAAAUGCAUUCUUAUCACAAUCAUGCAUUAUAUCAUGCAUUUUCUUAUACAUCUAUGCACGCAUAUGCAGACCUAGAAAUAUAGGUCCCCCUUCUAGAAUCCACAACACUUAACUAAGAAAAAGGAUGGAAAAUAAAGAAAGGUCACACCAAAAAGCUCAGUACCAAAAAGAGAUUGAAGGAGUUUGGAAUGAUGUUGCGCACCUAAUCGGUUUUCUCAUGCAAAUGUUUUGAGACAACUUUUUCCUUUUAAUGAGAUCAUGCAUUUCCAAAAGUUCAUCUUGGUGUUUUUACACAUCACUUUCCGUUUUCAAACUGGAUCUUCCAUAAUAACAUCUACACUUUACACUGAGAUUGAAUGGCUGGACUUUAAAGAAUACAUAUUAGUUGUAGAAGAAGAAGAAUGAGAGGAAAUUAACAUUAGGGGAUUCACAAAAAUUAAUAAGAACAACAUGAACAAGCUUGGAAACCCGCUAAAGAGGAAUUUGAAACCAUAGAUGUGGGCAAUGAAAAAAUCAAGAGAGAGUUGAAGAUAGGGACUUUGAUCACCCCUAAAGAAAGAGAAGAGUUGAUUAUACUACUCCAAGAUUAUGUAGAUUUUUUUUUUCCUGGUCCUACAAGGAUAUGCCUGGUUUGUAUAAGGUACCACUAGUAGAAGGAUGCAAAUCGGUUAAGCAAAGGUUGAGAAGGACCAAUUUGAAUGUCUUGAUCAAGGUAAAGACAUAAAUUGAAAAGUAGUGGAAUGCUGGUUUUCUAGAAAUAGUCAAGUAUCCGCAAUGUGUGUCUAACAUAGUGGUAGUACCCGAAGAGGAAGAGAAAAUCAGAGUUUGUGUGGACUUUAAGGACUUAAACCGGACUAGCCCUAAAGACAAUUUUUUUCUAUCACACAUAGAUAUGUUAGUUGACAAUGCAGCUCGUAGCCCCAUAUAUUCCUUUAUGGACGGGUUUUCGGGCUACAAUAAGAUAAAAAUGGCGCAAGAGGAUAAUGAGAAGAAACCUUUGUAACACUAUGGGGAACCUUUUGCUACAAAGUCAUGCCAUUUGGGUUAAAGAACGUUGGGGGCACCUACCAAAGGGCCAUGUUGACUCUAUUUCACGACAUGAUGCACAAAGAGAUUGAAGUAUACGUGGAUGACAUGAUUGCUAAAUCUAGAGAGGGAGAGAACCAUGUCCAAAUAUUGAAGGAAUUAUUUGAAAGAUUAAGAAAGUACAAGUUGAGGCUUAACCAUGCAAGGUGUUCAUUCGAGGUGAAAUCUAUGAAAGUUGUUGGGAUUUAUGAUGAGUGACAAAAGGAUAGAAAUGGACCCCGGUUAAGUAAAGGCUAUUCAAUCUAUGCCAACUCCCAAGACUGAGAAGGAUGUAAGAAGGUUCUUGGGAAGGUUGAAUUACAUUGCUCGGUUUAUAUCCCAAUUAACCACAACUUGUGACUCAAUCUUCGAUUGUUAAGGAAGAAGAAUCUCGGAAUUUGGAAUAAGAGUGUGAAGAAGCUUUCGAGAAAAUCAAGUAAUACGUAUUGAAUCCACCCCUAUCUAUCAAGCCGAAUUGCAAAAUGGCAAGUUCUACUGGCUGAGUACGACAUAGUAUAUAUGACAUGGAAAGCCAUGAAAGGGAGUGUUAUUGUCGAUCACCUUACCGACCAUGCUAGGGAAGAUAUUGAGUAAUUAAAAUUUGACUUUCCUGAUGAAGAUGUGCUUUCAGUUGAGGAAGGGAAAUUAGAUUGGUGGACUAUGUACUUUGAUGGUGAUGUAAAUGUAUGUGGUAACAGAGCUGAUGCAAUGAUAAUCUCUCCUAAUAAAAAGCAAUAUUCGGUUUUAGUUAAGUUGCAGUUUGGGUGCAAUAACAACAUAAGAGUAUGAAGCUUGCAUUUUCGUUUUAGAGGUGACAUUGGAGCAGAAUAUUAGAAAGAUAGAUAUGUAUGGAGACUCAAUUUUGAUUAUUUUCCAAGAGAAAGGAAAAUGACAAACCAAUGACGAGAAGUUGAGACCUUACCAAGAAUACCUGUCUAAAUUGGCUAGAGAAUUUGAGGAAAUAAAGUUCACCCAUCUAGGAAGGGAAGGAAACCAUUUUGCUGACGCUUUGGUCACAUUAACUUAUAUGGCUAGAAUAGACUUUGGGCAUAAGGUACAGUCGGUACGCAUUAAUAUCAGAAAUAACCCAGCUCAUUGUUGCUUAGUUGAAAGAGAAAAAGCUGGAAACCCUUGGUACUAUGAUAUCAAGAAUCUCAUCCAAAACCAGACAUAUCACAUUGGGGCAUCCAAAAUCAACAAAAGGACUUUGAGGAGGUUGGCAAUGGAUUUCUAUCUUGAUGGGGAAACUUUGAAUAAGAAAUCAUUUGACGGAACUUUGUAGAGAUGUUUGGAUGACAUGGAGGUAAAAAGUGGUGAAGAAAUUUAUGGAAAGAGAUUUGAUCUGUCAAUAUGGUCCACUAGAAAAGAUUAAUAAUGCCCAGAACUUCAAUAACAAGAUGAUAAUAAAACUCUAUGCUAAAUGGAAAAUCAAGCAUUCCAAUUCCUUGCUAUAUAGGCCAAAGAUGAAUGGUGUUGUAGAAGCUGCUAACGAAAAUGUCAAGAAGAUUGUUUAGAAGAUGAUAGUCACCUACAAGGAUUGGCAUGCGAUGUUGCCAUUCGCCCUUCACGCGUACUGCACUGCAAUCCGAACCUCAAUAGGAGCCACCCCGUAUAUAUUGGUGUAUGGAAUGGAGGCAGUGAUGCCUUUAGAAGUUGAAAUCCCCUCAUUAAGAGUAUUGAUAGACUCCGAGCUAGAAGAGGUAGAGUGAGUAAAAGUUAGAGAUGAAUAGUUGAAUCUGAUCAGUGGAAAGAGGAUAGCCGCAAUCUGUCAUCAAAGAAGGAUGGCCAAAUUAUACGACAAGAAGGUUCGACCUCGAGGAUUCCACUAAGGAGAUCUUAAACUGAAGAAAAUAUUGCCUUUUACCAGGAGAAGAUCAGAGUAAAUGGGCGUCAAACAAUGAGGGCCUUUUCGUGGUAAAGAAAGCAUUCUCAGGAGGAGCUUUAUUGUUAUCUAGAAUGGAUAGAGAAGAUCUAGUUAAACCUAUGAAUGCUGACUCUAUAAAGAAAUACUAUGCUUCCCAGUCAAUAAAAGAAAGUCCGGCCAUGCUCUUUGUAAAGAACCCUUUUUUUCAUAAAACGUAUGAUCUCAUAGCAUUUGAAAUCUUUUACUUAAAAGAACUGUUUUUUUUUAACGCAUGACUAAGGAGAUGACUCCAUCAAUUGGAGAGAACCAAAUCAAAUCUAAACUUGACAUAUUUUUGCACACCACACUGGGGGCAAGAAGUGCACGAAGUACACAUAGGGGUCCAUAGUGAACCAAAGCCCAAAGGGGUAUCAUCAUAAAAACUUCUAAAAAACAUCUUUUAUGAGAAUUGCUAAUUGUAUUGAAAGUUUCAGUUUUCAUGAACAAAACCAAAUCUUUUGAGUUUUCCUUUUAAAAUAAUAAUAAAAGACAAUACUCAAUGGAGCAAGAAAGGGCCCCAUAAGGAACCAAAGAUCUCUUCACCAAGAGGAUAGGAAGUAUAGCACGUGGAGUAUAUUCCAUUUCAAGAGGACGAGUCGGACAAACAAAUGAAAACAGGAGCUCAAUAAGUCUACAACAGAAAGAGGGACCUAUGUUUCCAAAAUAGGUAACAAAAAAAAAAGCAUGCAUGCUAUAUUGUCAUAACACUAACCUGGCAGGAGAAGGUGUGACGAAAGCCAAAAUAGUUCCAAGUUUUUGGGAAAACCGUUGAGGUACAAAAUCUCAUGUCAACGGAACUACGGAAAAGGAUAGGAAUUGUGAACCAGCACUACUUCAUUUCCUCGAGGUAAGAUGUUUUCUUUUAAAGUUUGAGAUGGGCAGGUCACCCAAUAUUGAGACCAUUUCUUAGAAAAACGUGGAGUUUUCUAAGAAUUUUAAGAUGGGCCGGUCACCUGAUAUUGAGACUGUUUCUUAGAAAAGCGUGGAGUUUUUUAAGAAUUUUAAGAUGGGCAGGUCGCCCGAUAUUGAGACCAUUUCUUAGAAAAACAUUGAGUUUUCUAAGAAUUUUAAGAGGGGCCGGUUACCUGAUAUUGAAACCGUUUCUUAGAAAAGCGUGGAGUUUUCUAAGAAUUUUAAGAUGGACCGGUCACGUGAUAUUGAGACUGUUUCUUAGAAAAGCGUAGAGUUUUCUAAGAAUUUUAAGAUGGGCAGGUCACCCGAUAUUGAGACCAUUCCUUAGAAAAGCAUGGAGUUUUCUAAGAAUUUUAAGAGGGGCCGGUUACCUAAUAUUGAAACCGUUUCUUAGAAAAGCGUGGAGUUUUCUAAGAAUUUUUAAGAUGGGCCGGUCACCUGAUAUUGAGACCGUUUCUUAGAAAAGCGUGGAGUUUUCUAAGAAUUUUAAGAUGGGCAGGUCACCUGAUAUUGAGACCGUUUCUUAGAAAAACGUGGAGUUUUCUAAGAAUUUUUGGAGGGGCCUGUCACCCGAUAUUAAGACUGUUUCUUAGAAAAGCGUGGAGUUUUCUAAGAAUUUUAAGAGGGGUCGGUCACCUAAUAUUGAAACCGUUUCUUAGAAAAGCAUGGAGUUUUCUAAGAAUUUUAAGAGAGGUCGGUCACCUGAUUUUGAGACUGUUUUUUUAGAAAAGCGUGGAGUUUUCUUAAAAAAAAAGUUUAAGGUGGGCAGGUCACCCGAUAUUGAGACCAUUCCUUAGAAAAGCGUGGAGUUUUCUAAGAAUUUUAGGAGGGGCCUGUCACCCGAUAUUGAGACCAUUUCUUAGAAAAGCGUGGAGUUUUCUAAGAAUUUUAAGAGGGGCCGGUCACCUGAUGUUGAAACCGUUUCUUAGAAAAGCAUGGGGUUUUCUAAGAAUUUUAAGAGGGGCCGGUCACCUGAUUUUGAGACCGUUUUUUUUAAAUAAGCGUGGAGUUUUCUUUAAAAAAAAGUUUAAGGUGGGCAGGUCACCCGAUAUUGAGACCGUUCCUUAGAAAAGCGUGGAGUUUGCUAAGAAUUUUAGGAGGGGCCUGUCACCCGAUAUUGAGACCAUUUCUUAGGAAAACGUGGACUUUUCUAAUAAUUUUAAGAGGAGCCGACCACCUGAUAUUGAAACCAUUUCUUAGAAAAGCGUGGAGUUUUCUAAGAAUUUUAAGAUGGACCGGUCACUUGAUAUUGAGACCAUUCCUUAGAAAAGCAUGGAGUUUUCUAAGAAUUUUAAGAUGGGCAGGUCACCCGAUAUUGAGACCAUUCCUUAGAAAAGCAUGGAGUUUUCUAAGAAUUUUAAGAGGGGUCGGUUACCUAAUAUUGAAACCGUUUCUUAGAAAAGCGUGGAGUUUUUUAAGAAUUUUUAAGAUGGGCCGGUCACCCGAUAUUGAGACAAUUUUUUAGAAAAGCAUGGAGUUUUCUAAAAAAAUAUUUUGAGGUGGGCAGGUCACCCGAUAUUGAAACCAUCCCUUAGAAAAGCGUUGAGUUUUCUAAGAAUUUUAAGACGGGCCUGUCACGCGAUAUUGAGACCAUUUCUUAGGAAAGCGUGGAGUUUUCUAAGAAUUUUAAUUUGGGUAGGUCACCCGUCAUAAUGUGACCAUCUUUCAUUUUGGGUAGGUCACCCGUCAUAAUGAGACCACACACACAUUUUUGUAUUGGUUGUGGUUAAAGGAGAUCACCAGAUGGGAUCUCAGGUUAACCCAACCACACACAGAGUUUACCUUUGGUUAAAGGGAAUCGCCAGAUGGGAUUUCAGGUUGACCGAGCUACACACCGACUUUGCUUCGGAUUAAAGGAGAUCGCCAGAUGGGAUCUCAGGUUAACCCAACCACACAGAGUUUAGUUUUGGUUAAAGGGAAUCGCCAGAUGGGAUUUCAGGUUAACCGAGCUACACACCGACAUUGCUUCGGAUUAAAGGAGAUCGCCAGAUGGGAUCUCAUAUUAACCCAACCACACACAUAGUUUAGCUUUGGUUAAAGGGAAUCGCCAGAUGGAUUUCAGGUUAACCGAGCUACACACCGACUUUACUUCAGAUUAAAGGAGAUUGCCAGAUGGGAUCUCAGGUUAACCCAAUCAAAAGGGUAGGUCGACCGUGAAAAUAGACCAGCAUGAGUAUGUGGGUAGGUCGCCCCUGAAAAUAGACCAGGUUUGAGUGUGUGUGAGCAGGUCGCUCGUGAAAAUAGACCAAUUUUCUUUUUUUAAAAAAGACAGGUCACCCAUGAUAACUAGACCAUUUUCUUUUAAAAAGUGAAGUCCUUGGAUGAGUAGAUCAUUCAAAAAGCAAGGAAGACUUUUUUUUUCUUUACAAGCUUACUAUGCAAAACAUUAAGGAGUUUUGCUUCGUAAGCAUUGUAAAGAGGGGGUAUCUGUUGCUACCUAAUUUUUGACUCAUGUUUUGAUAAAAAAAUUUUAAUAAAUAAAAAAUAAGAAUUUACAUGUGGCGAUAACAUAGAGCAUCAGGGUUAAGGAAGCAAUAUGUCAAGGAAAUAAUUAGUGAAUAAUAUAUAAUUACUGCAAUAUAAAAUACCAUAGAUAUAUGAUUUGAUUCGUGCUGUUUAGAGAAAAUAAUCACUGCAAUAGAAAAAUACAAUAUAUAUAGGAUUUGUUGGUGCUGGUUAUAGAAGACAAUCUUUGUAAUAAUUAUUAUAAUAUUUCUUUAAAUAGCACGUAUAGAGAUUUUCUAUAUAAAUGAACAUCCAGCCAUAUACAGAGGAGGGGAAAAAAUUUACAGAGGACAAAUUUUUUUUAAAGAGAGAAAUUUAGGGCAACCAUAAAAAAACCUAAACCUAAUUUUUUUCUCCUGGCCGAAACCAAGCCAUCGCCCCCUCUCCCCUGUUGUUUUUUUGGUUUGCAGUCUCCCCCCCCCCAGCUAUCUUCUUCUCCUCCCUCAGCUCCCACAUGCACGACCUUCCCUUUUCAGCUAAAGACAAACUCACGGUCUUCUCUCCCAACCAAGAGGCAGCCGGCGCCGCUCUCCCUCUCCACAACAGCCGUCACUGCUCCUCCCCCUUUCUCAAUCAAGACUUUCCCUCUGCACACAAGCUUCUCUUCUCCCUUCGCCAGACCUCACUUCCCUAGCUUGCAACAACUAUGAACACCACUUACAGGCCUUCACUCUCUGUCAACACAACCCCAGGAAAAGACUCUCCAUUCAUCCCAUCUCUCCCUCAGCUCAGCCCCGCCUGAUAAACAUUCAAAACCAGAAGCCACAGCCAGCCCUUCCCCCGACAGUAACAGAGAAGCAACACCAGAACCUCAGACUGGCCUCCCUUGAAAAAUCCCAGCAGCUAGCAGCACCACCUCUGCUGAACCAUGGCCAGCACCAACAGCAACCAGGAACGAGUUGAGCCACUCGCCCAGUUGUAGCCUCCUCCACAGCCAUAUCCUUCCUCAGCCGCAGUGAUGGAACCAGCAGAAGCCACACCUUUCCUCGACCGCAGUAGCAGAAUCAGCAGAAGUCAUCCUUCCCUUCCAGCAACACGAGAACAGAGGGAGUUUCUUUCCUUCAUCCUUUCGUUACUGUGAGAAAGGAAAACAGAACAGAGGAGAGGGAGAGAAGAGAAACGAAAGCAAAACAAACCGGAAAGAACAGAGACGCAAGAGAAAAGCAAGCGAGCGCAGACAGUGAGGACUGGAGAAACCGGGUUCGCCAGCAGACCAGGUAAGCUGUCUCUCUUUUCUUACCAGCUUUGCAUGCAUUCUUGGUUGCAUUGUUACUGUUCAAGUGAAAUUUAAUACACUUGAACAGUAACCAGCCAAGGCAUGCGUGAGGAAACUCACGCAUGCCUUUGUGCCCAGUCGGGUCACUGGUUUGGGUCAGUGACCCGGCUAUGCCUGCUGGGUUCAGCCCAGCCACAUGGGCCGAGCUGGACCCAGCCCCUAAAAAAACGAGUAAUAUCAUUUUUUUAUUUAAUUUGUGGUUUUUUUAUAUUUUUAUAUUGUAAAAACAUAAAUCUUGUAUUUAAAAUACCUGGUUUUCAACGCAAUGUGACAAAUAUAUAUAUAUAUAUAUAAAAUGUUUUCAUGCAUACGACCAAUACUCUAAAUGUUUUGAAUGUUUUUUUUAUAUAAAAAAAAAAUAUUGGAAGUUUCAAAAAUGUGUUUUCGCAUGGAUUUCUUAAACACAACAAAAAUUAUUUUCUUGCAUUUCUAGAACACAACAAAAAUUAUUUUCUUGCAUUUCUAGAUUUUACAACAUGUUUGUAAAACUCCAAAGGGUAUUGGUCAAUAUUCCAAAAAAUAUAAAAAUCUUAUUUUGGAGGAAAUUCAUCUAUUAUUCACCGCUAAUGUUUGGAUAAAAAAAUCCUUAAAGGACGAAUAUCCAAAAUAUUAUUGGGAAUAACUUGUUAUUAUUCGCUGUUAAUGUUUGGAUAAAAAAACCCCAAGUGGUUAAUAUCCAAAAUAUUUUUCUAGGAAUAAUAAGUCAUCGCACAUCGUUGAAAGAAGCCUCGAUUAUAAUUUAGGACAUUUUAAUUUUUGACUCCAUGGUUUACAAGCCAUAAAAAUAUGAAACAAGGCAAAAAGAGGCUUUUAAAGCGCUCUGAAUUUCCUUAAAUUUCUAAAUUUUUGUCUCUCCUCAUUGCGAUUUACGAGUCGCAAAACUCUUGAAAUACUAAGGGAAAAAUAAGCUUUUAAAACACAUGGAAUCUCCUUGGAUUUCUAUCUUAAUAAAUUUAGUCUGAAUCAAACAUAGAUUUCAAGAGAUCUGCAUCGGUUCUCCUUGGUACUUUGUAGACAUAUCUAAGGGUGUGAUCCAGAUUGACCAAGGGUUAUUUCUUUUUUAAAACUUUCAAUCCAAGUUUGUUCGUCAUAGCAAAAUGUAUCCUAGGAAACACCAACACCAUAGCAAUUAUAAAGCAAACCAAACACCAAGCAGCUUACCUUAAAUAGGGCGUACUAGGGGUGCUAAUACCUUCCCUCUAUGCAACUAGUCCCUUGCCUUAGAAUCUCUAAAAGACUAGUUAGGUUUCCUAGUGACCAUAAUACUAGGUGGCGACUCCAUUAUUCACAAAACAUAACACCCCGAAAUCAAUUGAGGAUCGCCGCACUCUGCUCGUGAGGGUGCGACAAAACUUAAAAACUUACGUACUUCUGCUCUUGUCAUUCAACCUCUUUAUUGGUCACUACCUUUUGAAAUAACGUGUGAUGCUUGUGAUUAUGUCGUGGGUGCUGUCUUGGGACAAAGAAAAGAUAAGAAACCUUAUAUGAUUUACUAUGCAAGUAAAACUUUAAAUAGUGCUUAAAUGAAUUACACCACCAUUGAAAAAGAAUUACUUGCAAUAGUAUUUGUUUGUGAAAAAUUCAGGUCUUAUCUUGUUGGCUUACCUGUUGUUGUUUUUAGUGAUCAUGUUGCACUGAAAUAUCUUUUUUCUAAGAAAGAUUCUAAGGCUAGAUUGGUGCGGUGAAUUUUGUUACUUCAAGAAUUUGAUAUCACAAUUAAAGACAAGAAAGACACCAAAAAUGUUGUCGCAGAUCAUUUGUCAAGAUUGACAACAGAUUUGAAAUUUGACAUCACACCAAUCAAUGACUACUUUCCUGAUGAAUCUUUACUAUCUGUCUCUACAAUGCCUUGGUUUUCUAAUAUUGUCAAUUUUCUUGUUUCAGGACAAUUGCCAGCUCAUUGGAGAACCCAAGAUAAAAGAAAGUUCUUGAACGAAGUGAAUAACUUUUAUUGGGAUGACCUUUAUUUAUUCAAAUAUUGUCCUGAUCAAAUAUUUCAAAGAUCCAUUCCUGACAAUGAGGUAAGUAGUGUCAUUAAAUUUUGUCAUUCUGAGGCAUAUGGGGGCCAUUUCUCAUCAAGAAAGACAACUCCAAAAAUCUUACAAAGUGAAUUUUACAGGCCCACCAUGUUCAAGGACUCACAUGCAUUCUGCAAGACUUGUGAAAAUUGUCAAAAGUUGGGAUCUAUUUCAAAACGUCACAUGAUGCCUUUAAAUCCAAUUCUUGUCAUUGAGAUCUUUGACUGUUGGGGUAUAGAUUUCAUGGGUCCAUUUCCUCCAUCAUUUGGUUUCUUGUACAUAUUAGUCGCAGUAGAUUAUGUUUCAAAAUGGAUACAGGCAAUUCCAAGUCGAAACAAUAACCACAAAACAGUGAUAAAGUUUUUGAAAAAAAAUAUUUUGAGUCCAUUUGGAAUCUCUCGAGCCAUGAUAAGUGAUGGUGGAACACAUUUCUGCAACAAGUCAUUUGAGUCUUUAAUGAAGAAAUAUGGAAUCACACACAAAGUUGUCACCCCUUAUCACCCUCAGACAAGUGGACAAGUAGAGCUUGCUAAAAGGGAGAUCAAACAAAUCUUGGAGAAAACAGUAAACCCUAAUAGGAAAGACUAGUCUUUAAGACUUAAUGAUGCACUUUGGACUUAUUGAACUGCUUAUAAAACAUCAUUAGGUAUGUCACCUUAUAGAUUAGUCUAUGGAAAACCUUGUCACUUGCCUGUGGAACUUCAACACAAAGCUUAUGCUGAUGCCUUCAUUGCUUUACCAGGUGGGCUGGGCAUAUUGGAAGAGAUCUUUCAUAUUUCCUUUUGGGCCCAACUACACAUUCACCAUAAACCCAUAGAUCUGUUAAAUGUUAAUGGUUUUUAUGAUAAUUUGUUGUCUUUUCUUUAUCAAGCUGUGGAAUAACAAUUUCUAACAUCUUCAGCACGACAAAUCAUAAUCUCUGCUGUUACUACUAAACAAUUGAUUGACUAACUACAAUCUUUCAUCCUUGUAAUUGAUCUCUCCAUGAGUCGUAUAAAUUGGUCAACUAAGGAAAGCCGUAAAAAGCUUAGAUUGGAUUUGAGCCUUCGUUUGUGAAACCUUGUGUCCUUUGGUUUUAUUAAUAGCAUUUUAUUUUGUUUUGUUAUUUCUUAUAUUUGUUUAAGUGUGUUUCAGGUUUGCUAGUGUUCGUUGUUUCAGGUGAUGUCUUCUAUACUCUAUCUUUCUACCUUAGGACAUUGAGGACAAUGUCUCGUUCUAGUUGGGGGGAGAGGGUAGUAGUUGACAUAAAAAAAACUAACUUCUAACAGUUUUUGCUAUUAUUAAAACCAUUUGACAAAACUGUUAUUAGGAUGGCAGACUUUAAUGUUUGAUACUAACAUGUUUUGUAUUUGUUAUCUUGUUCACUUUUAAUAUUUUGCUUGUUAAAUGAUUAAUCUACAUUUAUGUUGUAUAAUCCUUGGUACAACAAAUACUUGGCACUUUCAUAGCCCAAACCGUAUGGUAUAACCGACACCUGUGCUAUGAAAGGAACUUGAUGUGUUGUUAACAUAAGUUAUAAUCAUGAAUGCCUGAUAACAUUUACAAGUAUUAGCAUUAUUCGAAUGAGAUAACUAAUGUAAUCAUGUUAACAAUUUAUAAUCUGAUUGGAACCUUCUUUGUGUGUGGUUUCCAGUUGAAUAAUAACAGUUUAUACUAUACUUGUUUGAAAUACCAUUAGUGGAUCCUCUAACCUUAACAAUUGUUUUUAUCAUUGUUUAAUACUUAUAACAAUAUCACAUCUCAAAGCUCUCUUCUUCUUCUUGUUAUUAUUAUUGUUGUUGUUGUUGUUGUCGUUGUUGUUGUCGUUGUUGUUGUUGUUGUUGUUGUAUUGUUGUUAUUUAUAAUUUUUAUAGUUAACCUUCUUGUGGUUCAACCCCUGUCUUGCCGGGUUAUUUAUUACUUUGACGCUCCUACACUUGGGAGAAGACAUCAAGCUUUUGGUCGUGUCAGCCCUAAUCAUGGUUUUGAAACAUGGAGAUUAGUUUCAUAUUUUUAUGAAGGGUUAACACCUAAAGAUAGACAAAUGGUGGAAUUAAUGUGCAAUGGAACUUUUGAAGAUUAAGACCCUAAUGAAGCAAUGGAGUACCUAGACUUGCUAGCUAAAAAUGCUCAAAAUUAAGACACUACAGGCACUUAUGAGGCACCAAAUAAAACUCAACCUCAUACAUCUAGUGGAGGAAUGUACAACCUUAGGGAAGAUCAUGACCUCCAAGCCAUGUUUGCAUCUUUAGCUAGAAAAGUCGAGGCACUAGAAUUGAAAAAGAGUGGUCAAUGUUGCGAUGUCGCAGUCGCACAAAUUCCUUACCCUAGCUUCAAACACAACACACAAGAUAAUAUAGAGCAAGCAAGGGGUCGAUCCCACGAGGAAGGUUCAAGUCAGAUUUUUAUGCUAGAUGAUAUGCAAUUUAGGGGGGGUUGGACGUUAUCUAGGCUAAAGCAAAAAAAAAUAGAAAACUAUCAAGUGAAAUUAAAUAAAAUGAGAAAAUUAUCAAGAGAACAAACCUUGGUCGCAAGCACACAUCCACUUAUAGAAAUCAGAACUGAUCAUGGAAACGAAACUUCAAUUUAUAUUCUGAAUAUUUAUCUCUUUUUAACAUUGGUUAGUUAACGGAUCCACCGUAUAACUAACCCUAACCAUCAAACAACCACAGUGUGCGCACUAGUAAUUUAAUUCAAUGACAGCCUUAAGAACUAGAUAAGUUGAUUAAUCAAGAAAAGUCUAUAGUUUAAGUUUGAUUUGAUUGAAUGUUCUCCCUAAGAUUAAUAACGUAGAUCCGCCACAAUUAUUAAACUCAAUUGCUUCACAAGUUCAUAUACCACAACUCUGGUUUUGAUAUCAAACUUAGCAAUAGAUUGUCUACAAUAAUAACUUAGAGUCCGCUCUAGCAAUUAAAAUAAACAAUCAUAGGAAAAAUAAGCAUAGAAGAACAAACAUAUUCAUCAUAUAAACUGAAAAGAAAAGGUAAAAUAAAUCUCAUAGUUCUUGAAAUCCAAAGUUUUCUGUGUCCUUGCAACCAAGAAAAAAGAGUUUAGCCUUGCAUGUUUGUUGAACAGCUAAUAAAAAAGGAGGAAUGCAUGAUUUUGGGUUUCUUAGAGGAAGGGGGCGUUUUUCUCUUCUGUGCUGGCUGCCCCCCCUUCGUUUCUCUCAUUGUUUUUAUAUCCUAGGAAACCCUAGUCUCUAUUUUACAAAAUAGUCCUCCCUUAAGUAGACAGUUUACAUUUAAGUACUUCAAUAACUAUUUUCCUAAAAAAGGAGGAAUAACCUUGCAUGAAAUCUUCAAGCUUUGACUUAGAGGAGCUAAAUUGCUGAAAUAAAAACUUGGAUAUUGGUUUAGAUGCUUCAGAACGCAAUUUGGACUCGUUUCUUCACGAAACCUGUUUGCUGGCAGAAUUCAGAUGUCAUCUUUGAAAAAUCAUAUCUCCCUCAUAUGACAUCUUUUUUUGCUGAACUUUGGAGCAUUGAUAGGCAUUUGAGUCAAGAAUCCAAUAUAAUUGAGUUUGAAUCAAUUGGACUUCUUUAACUUUAGAUAUUCAACUCGGAAUGGCCAAAGGUCAACACUGGCAGAUUGCGAGAUUUGACUUUGAAGGCUAUGAUUUCCAUGCUCUUCCUUAUUUUAUUUUCUUGCCUUAGAUGUCCAGAAAGUUAUGGAUGUUAGUCUUUUAAUCCCACUAGAAUCAUUUCAUUUCGACCUCUAGAGCUCAUGCUCUGCACAAAAGAUCGACUGAAGGUCAAAUUUGUCAAUUACCUCUAAUUUACUCAUUUUUGCAUCUUUCAUCCAAAAGUGCCUUCAAAACAUAAAAUAAAGAAUAUGAAGGCAUUUUAUAUAUAAAACAUAGGCAAAACACUAGUUAAAUGUGGGUGAAACUAUCGAAUAAUUGCAUCACUUUACCACAAUCAAUUUUUAUAUUUGCAGUUUUCAAGAAUGGUCUCCCAAACAAUAUAGGAGUGUUGUUUGAUGAAUCACAAGAAUCAUGUUUCAUAUCAAGAAUAUAAAAGUCACAUGGAAUGACCAAACUAUCAAUCUUGACUAGGACAUCUUCUAUCACACCAAGUGGGUAAACAAAACUACAAUCCGCAAGUUGUAUUACAAUGCUAGUUUUAUUCAAAGGCUCUAGACUAAGAGAAUCAUAAACAUGUUUAGGCAUAACACUAAUGGAUGCACCUAAAUCGCACAAGGCCCUUUUGAAACUAGUAUUACCAAUAACACAUGGGAUAGUAAACACACCUGGGUCUUUUUGCUUCAAAGACAUAUUCUUUUGAACAACAGCAGAUACAACUUCACCCAUACUUACCAUUUCAUGACCUUUUAGUUUGAAAGCUCUCUUGGUAGUACACAACUCCUUCAAGAAUUUGGCAUACUUAGGAAUUUGCUUGAUAGCAUCAAGCAAAGGAAUGUUGAGUUCUACUUUCUUGAAAACCUCUAAAAUCUCUUUUUCUUUGUCCUCUUUCUUUGACCUAGAAGAACUCACAGGAAAGGGUGGAAUUGUUUUAAAACUGGAAUUCAUUGAGUGAGGAGUUACCUUUGGAGUGUUGGUCGAUGUUUCAGUUUGUGGAGGGGGAGGAUGUUCUUUCUUUGUACUCAAUUCAGUUUCUAUCUCUUCUUCUUUCUCCAUCUUAAUUUGUUUCGACGUUUUUGCUUCAAGUUCAUUCUCACUUCGCAGCAUGAUCGCACUAACAUUCUCUUUUGGAUUCAAUGCUUGGAAGGACAAUUUUCCAUUCAUUUGUGCUUCCAAUUUCCCCACACUUGAAGCUACUUGCCCCAUUUGCUUCUCCAAGUUGUGAAUACUUGACCUUGUUUCCUGUUGAAAAGACAUGACAUUUUGUUGCAAGGUCACAGUGUUAGAAGCCAAAGUUUUUAUCAUCUCAUGAAGAUCAUCACUGGAUGACGACCCCAUAACAUUGGAGUUUGUGAAUGGAAGGGGCUGUCUCGCUUGAUAAUUCUGUGGGGAUUGAAAUCCAUGGGGAUGGAAUUAUCGGCCUUGAUUGCCUUGUUGAGGUGGGUUCCCAUAGCAUAAGUUUGGAUGAUCUCUCCAUCCGGGAUUGUACGUGUUGGAAAAGGGAUCAUGUUUACGUUGGGGCUGUCCGUUAAAUCCUCUAUCAACUACAUGAACCUGUUCAAUGUAAUCUUCUUGCAUUGUUGGGCACAUAUCUGAGGUAUAUCCUUAUAAGGAACAUAUGCUACAAACUUUCACCUGCUGUACAUUUCCACAAGCCAAAGAACGCACAAGAGAAGUAAGAUCAUUAACUUUAUUUUCAAGGUUAGAAAUACUUACCUCAUUUACUCGUUUGUUUGCGAAGUCUCCACGCGUGCCAAAUUGUUUCGAGUUGGCUAGCUGCCAUGUUUGAGAUCAAUUGGCGUGCAGCCUCGGGUGUCUUAUCUAUCAAUGCCCCUCCACUUGCAGCAUCAAUGAUAGUAUGGUCAGAGGCAUGAAUCCUUCAUAGAAAUAUUGAAUGAGCAGCUGAUCGGGUAUUUGAUGAUGAGGGCAUUGAAUGCACAGUUGCUCAAAUCUUUCCCAAUACUCGGAAAAUGUCUCUCCAUGAGAUUUUCGAAUCCCACAUAUUUCUUUCCUUAUGUUGGCAACUCGAGAUGCUAGGAAAUACUUUUCAAGGAAAAUCUUCUUCAUGGCAUGCCAAGUUCCAAUGGAACCCGGGAGAAUAGAGAAAAACCAUGCAUUUGCUGCCCCUUUUAAAGAGAAAGGGAAAGCUUUCAACUUAACCUGUUCUUCAUCAACUCCAUUUGGUUUCAUGCCAACGCAAACCAUAUGGAACUCCUUGAGAUGAGUAUGAGGAUCGUCACCUGCAAGACCAUUGAAUGUUGGUAGCAAAUGUAUAAAACCAAAUUUGAGCUCAAAGUUUACAUUAUUGUCGAUGUUGAUGCACAAUGGUUGAUUUUCCACGUUAGGAGUAGCAAGCUCCUUGAGUGUUUGUUGUCGUUCAACAGCCAUGGUGCCAUGGUGUUGACGCGAGGUUCCUUUCGUAACCUGCGUAAAGUGUUUUCUAUUUCGAGAUCCACCUGCACUUGAAUCUGGUUAGUAGAACGGGUUACAAUCAUAAAUCGUCAAGAAAACUCAAAAGAAACCAACCACGCAAGAAAUCGAAAACAAUGCAAAUUGUACGAAAAUCCUAUGCUAGAAAACUAAAACUGCCUAAAAACCCUAGAAAACAAAGGAAUUUGACCUCGAUAGGGUGGGGCUAGUGGUGUACCACAAAUCCUUCUAAAUAUUUAUCUCUUCUUAACAUUGGUUAGUUAACGGAUCCGCCGUAUAACUAACCAUAACCAUCAAACAACCACAGUGUCCACACUAGUAAUUUAAUUCAAUGGCAGCCUUAAAAACUAGAUAAGUUGAUUAAUCAAGAAAAGUCCACAGUUUAUGUUUGAUUUGAUUGAAUGUUCUCCCUAAGAUUAAUAACGUAGAUCCGCCACAAUUAUUAAACUUAGUUGCUUCACAAGUUCAUAUACCACAACUCCGGUUUUGAUAUCAAACUUAGCAAUAGAUUGUCUACAAUAAUAACUUAGAGCCCGCUCUAACAAUUAAAAUAAACAAUCAUAGGAAAAAUAAGCAUAGGAGAACAAACAUAUUCAUCAUAUAAACUGAAAAGAAAAGGUAAAAUAAAUCUCACAGUUCUUGAAAUCCGAAGGUUUAUAUGUCCUUGCAACCAAGAAAAAGAGUUUAGCCUUGCAUGUUUGUUGAACACCUAUCAAAAAGAAGGAAUGCAUGAUUUUGGGUUUCUUAGAGGAAGGGGCGUUUUUAUCUUCUUUGCUGGCUGCCCCCUUGAUGCGAUCCAACCAUCAAAGGAUCUAUUGGAGGUUCCAAUUGGUCUAGUUACUAGGCUUAGGGCUAAGAAGUUCAAAUAAGCUUUCAAUGGACUUUUUCAAGAUACAUGGGCUAAGGUGGACUUCAAGAGGAUUUGUAAUAAUAAAGAGCAAGCCUUGAUUAAUCCGAUUCAUGUUCAAGAGGGGCUUGUUGGUGGAACCAAGACCAUUACACAAGGAUUGGGAGAAGAAGACUAGAUUUAGACAGUUUGACCUUUCGUUACUCUUUUAUCCACAGUUAGACUUCCAUACCUUUCCAACGAUAUAUGGCAUGCUUUCUAAUUCAUUAAGACGAGAGAGAACCAUCCAUUUUAAGUUGGGUUUUGCUGCUGCCAGACAGAAUGCGGAAACAACGAACUUGUCUUAUUUAAUUAGUUGGGCUAUCAAACUUUAAUUAUUUUGAGAGGAGACAAUUUGUUUGGGUUUUAGACUUUUUUAUUUUAAUUAUUUUGGGUUAGUUUUAGCUUGGGUUGAUUAUUAUUUAAAUUGGGUUUAUGUGAGACCCAUUAGGGAAACUAGGGUUUUGGCUUGGAGUUUAAAUACUCUUUAGGAAUAAUUUUAGGUUAGACUUUUGAUGAUAUUUUCAGCCUUGUAGCCGACUUUUGGUUGCUCAAUCUUGGUUCUUGAUUGAACUUUCAACUCUUCAAAGAAUUGACAAUUCUUUGUUGUGAAUUUAUACUUCCUUUACUCGUCUUCAAGUGUAGGCGUUGUGAUCGAGUUGGUUUAUAGUCUUGUUGCCUUGGAGUAAGUCUUCCAUUAUGAUAAGCUCAUUCAAAUCUCAACAAACUUGGGUUAGAUUGAUCUUGGGGUCGCGAAUACCAUUAAAUUUCGCUUGUGUGAAUUUACUUCCAUAUUCAGUUUUUCAAAGUCUCAAUCUAGGUGAAUUAAAACCAACUUAUGUAACUCUCUUACUUGCUGAUAGAUCUGUAAAAGUGCCUAGAGGAAUAGUUGAAGAUGUGUUAGUACAAGUUGAUAAAUUCAUUUAUCCUGUGGAUUUCAUUGUCUUCGAUACACAACUUGUUGAAGCAUGUAAUUCAUUUCCUAUUAUUUUAGGACGUCCAUUUCUUGCAACUUCUAAUGCAUUGAUUAAUUAUAGGAAUGGACUGAUGAAACUAUCAUUUGGAAAAUUGACAUUGGAGAUGAAUAUUUUCAACAUUUGCAAGCAACCUGGAGAUGAUAAUGAUUUACAGGAAGUGGACUUUAUUGAAAAAUUAGUUUAUGAUCAAUUUCAAACCACUUCCAGUGAAACUGAGAUUGAUGAAUCUGACGAUUUGCAAAUGGUUUAUUUUUAGGAAGAAUUAAAGGCAAAUAGUUGGAGACCAAAAAUUAAGGAAUUGCCACCACGAUCAAUUGAGUCCAUACCUUCAAGUGUUCAACCACCAAAACCUGAUUUGAAGUCGUUACCAUUCAAUCUCAAAUACUCAUUUUUGGGAGAAAAUGAAACUUUUCCGGUAAUAAUCUCUUCCAAACUUAAUGCACAUCACGAAGGUAAGUUAUUACAAACUCUGAAAAUGCACAAAAAUGCAUUAGGAUGCACCAUAACUAACAUAAAAGGAAUUAGUCCUUUGAUUUGCACACACAGGAUUUAUUUGGAGGAAAAUGCUAAAUCCUCUAGAGAAAUGCAACGAAGGCUUAAUUCUAAUAUGAAAGAAGUAGUGAAAAAUGAAGUCAUUAAGCUUCUAGAUAAUGGAAUCAUUUAUCCUAUUUCUGACAGCAAAUGGGUAAGUCUUACCCAAGUUGUACCCAAGAAGUCUGGAGUCAUUGUGAUAACAAAUGAGAAAAAUGAGUUAAUUCCAACUAGGACUAUUACUAGUUGGCGCAUGCGCAUUGACUAUAGGAAACUUAAUUCAAUGACUAGAAAAGUUCAUUUUCCUUUACCUUUCAUGGAUCAAAUCCCAGGAAGAGUUGCAGGUCAUGAAUUUUAUUGUUUCCUAGAUGGUUAUUCAGGCUACAACCAAAUUGAAAUUGCAUUGAAAGAUCAAGAGAAGACUACUUUCACAUGUCCAUUUGGUACUUUUGCAUAUCGAAGAAUGCCUUUUGGAUUAUGUAAUACACCAGCCACAUUUCAAAGAUGCAUGCUCAGUAUAUUUAGUGAUAUGGUUGAACGUUUUCUUGAAAUUUUUAUGGAUGAUUUUUCUGUUUUUGGCGAUUCAUUUGAUGAUUGUUUGACUAACUUAGAAAAGGUUUUGAGCAGGUGUGAAGAGAAGAAUCUUGUACUGAAUGGGAAAAAAUAUCACUUUAUGGUAACAAACGGCAUUGUACUUGUUCACAUUGUUUCAUCGAAAGGAAUUGAGGUUGACAAAUCUAAAAUCGAGUUAAUUGCUAACUUGCUAACACCAAAAUAUAUUAAAGAUGUUAGAUCGUUCUUAGGACAUGCUGGUUUUUAUAGAAGGUUCAUCAAAGAUUUUAGUGUAAUAUCUAAGCCCUUGAGUAACCUUCCUAACAAAGGAUAAUAUUUUUGAAUGGACUAAACAUUGUGAAGAAGCAUUUGUUAAACUUAAAAACUUGCUUACUCAUGCUCAUGUCAUUCAACCUCCUUAUUGGCCAUUACCUUUUGAAAUAAUGUGUGACGCUAGUGAUUAUGUCGUGGGUGCUGUCUUGGGACAUAGAAAAGAUAAGAAAUCUUAUGUGAUUUACUAUGCAAGUAAAAACUUUAAAUAGUGCUCAAAUGAAUUACACCACCACUGAAAAAGAAUUACUUGUAGUAGUAUUUGCAUGUGAAAAAUUCAGGUCUUAUCUUGUCGACUCACCUGUUGUUGUUUUUAGUGAUCAUGCAGCAUUGAAAUAUCUUCUUUCUAAGAAAGAUUCUAAGACUAGAUUGGUGCGGUGGAUUUUGUUACUUCAAGAAUUUGAUAUCACAAUCAAAGACAAGAAAGGCACCGAAAAUAUUGUCGCAGGUCAUUUGUCAAGAUUGAUAACAGAUUCGAGAUCUGACAUCACACCAAUCGAUGACUACUUUCCUGAUGAAUCUUUACUUUCCGUCUCUACAAUGCCUUGUUUGCUAAUAUUGUUAAUUUUCUUGUUUCAAGACAUUUGCCAGCUCAUUGGAGUACCCAAGACAAAAGAAAGUUCUUGAACAAAGUGAAGAACUUUUAUUGGGAUGACCUUUAUUUAUUCAAAUAUUGUCCUGAUCAAAUAUUUCGAAGAUGCAUUCCUGACAAUGAGGUAAGUAGUGUCAUUAAAUUUUAUCAUUCUGAGCAUGUGAGGGUCAUUUCUCAUCAAGAAAGACAACUCCAAAAAUCUUACAAAGUGGAUUUUACGGGCCCACCAUGUUCAAGGACUCACAUGCAUUAUGCAAGACUUGUGAAAAUUGUCAAAAGCUGAGAUCUAUUUCAAAAGGUCACAUAAUGCCUUUAAAUCCUAUUCUUGUCAUUGAGAUCUUUGAUUGUUGGGGUAUAGAUUUCAUGGGUCCAUUUCCUCCAUCAUUUGGUUUCUUGUACAUAUUAGUCGUAGUAGAUUAUGUUUCAAAAUGGAUAGAGGCAAUUCCAAGUCGAAACAAUGAUCACAAAACAGUGAUAAAGUUUUUGAAAGAAAAUAUUUUGAGUCGAUUUGGAAUCCCUCGAGCCAUGAUAAGUGAUGGUGGAACACAUUUCUGCAACAAGUCAUUUGAGUCUUUAAUGAAGAAAUAUGGAAUCACACACAAAGUUGCCACCCCUUAUCAUCCUCAGACAAGUGGACAAGUAGAACUUGCUAAUAAGGAGAUCAAACAGAUCUUGGAGAAAACAGUGAACCCUAAUAGGAAAGACUGGUCUUUUUAAUUAUACACUUUGGGUUUAUCGAACUGCUUAUAAAACAUCAUUAGAUAUGUCACCUUAUAGAUUAGUCUAUGGAAAACCUUGUCACUUGCCUGUGGAACUUCAAUAUAAAGCUUAUUGGGCUAUUAAAGCUUUUAAUUCAAACCUUGAUGAUGCUAGUCAGCUGUGAAAAUUACAAAUAAAUGAGCUUGAGGAAAUAAGAAAUGAUGCAUAUGAAAAUUCAAGAAUUCAUAAAGCAAGAAUCAAAGAGUUUCGUGACAAGAAAUUACUGAGAAAAACAUUCAAUAUUGGUCAAAAAGUCUUGCUUUAUAAUUCUCGACUCCAUUUAUUUCUUGGAAAACUAAGGUCAAGAUGGAGCGGUCCUUUUAUUGUGAAACAUGUGUAUCCAUAUGGGGCCUGUAAUAUCGAGAAUCCAAAGAAUGACAAUGUUUUCAAGGUAAAUGGGCAUUGUUUGAAAGUUUACUUUGACAAUUUUUCAGUUGAAAAUGACUCUAUUCAAUUGAGUGAUCCUGUAUAUAAAGAUUGAUUCUUUUUCUCACAUUGUUUUUAUGUUUCUUUUUGGUGUGAAUUUUGUUUUGCUAGUCUCUCUCACCCUGGUCAAAUGGCGGAUAACGGCACUCCGUGACUCUUAAGUCGGUUCUUUCAGUUUCCCAUAAUAACUUAUAUUUGUGUAUAUAUUUGUGCAAUUCUUUGCUCUUUCUCCUUUAUUUGCAUCUCUUCUCCAAUUCUCAUUUGAAAAUGGACACCACUCUUGAAAAUUGAAAAAGUAUUUUCUCGUUUUGCCUCCAAAUGCGAUUGCAAAAAUUUACCGUGCUAGGUGUGCAAGAUUAAGGUUGUUAAUGAAUCAUGGAAUUCUUGAAGAUAUUCACUGGCUAAUUGAAGCAAAGGUCUGAUUAUCAGGUGAGUCCUCCAAUUCUUUCAUUUCAUACAUACCUGGAACAGGUAAAAGUGCUUUUGCAAAGAAACGUUAUGCAAAACGACUGAAAGUCUGUCACAAAUGUGUCAGAUGGACUUGUAAUGCAACAUGUCGUUCUUUAGAAAUGGUAUUUGUAAACCGUUAAGAUAAAAUACAAUUCAUUAAGGAUGACCUAAGUAAGGGGUCUUUAGAUAAUCUUCUAUUGACUCUUGAGACGCAUCCUAGUGGAGAUGUGCAUCGUGCAAUUCAUGAUUUAUGGCCACAAUUCCAUAAAGAACAUGCUCGACAUAGUCUUGGGAAUCUGACUAAAAAAGACCAUGUUUGCCAGUUUUUAAGAAAACUGGAUGGGAAGCCUAUCCCUAACCCAUAGAGGGCAUUUAAGUCGUUCUUGGACGUAAAACCAAAGGAAGAUGUGAGCCACAAUCACAACUACCUGUACAUACACAUGCUUUUUUUUCAAAUAAUAAUAAUAAUAAUAAGAGAGAGAGAGAGAGAGUGAGACUCCAGCUAGCCUACAUAUAGGUGGUAUGAUUGCAUUUUCAAUUUCUCAUCUAUAAAAUCUUCUCUUCCUUCCCUUCAUUUCUACUCAACCAAUACAUCAAUAGAUAUAGAAGUGUGUAGAAAUGGCAGGUUCCUCAAGUCAUCACAUAAGAAAUAUUUAUGUUUUCGGUAGAUCCAGCCUUGGGAAAGAAAAAGAGUUUUUAGAAUCAAUAAAUCAUCUUGAUUAGGUACUAGCUCAAAGAAAGAUUCAUUUAGUGUAUGGGGGAGGCAGCCUUAGGUUAAUGGGGGGUGUCAAUAGCUGCAUUUUUAGGAGACAAUCAAGUUUUGGGGGUUGUCCCCAAAGCUUUAGCAAAAGGGGACAUAAUUGGAAAAACAAUUGGAGAGGAACUGCAGGUCUCCACAAUGUCUGAUCGAAUGAAUGCGAUGUUUAACCAUGCUGAUGCCUUCAUUGCUUUACCAGGUGGUCUGGGAACAUUAGAAGAGAUCUUUCAUAUUUCCUCUUGGGCCCAACUACACAUUCACCAUAAACUUAUAGGUUUGUUAAAUGUUAAUGGUUUUUAUGAUAAUUUGUUGUCUUUUCUUUAUCAAGCUGUGGAACAACAAUUUCUAACAUCUUCGGCACGAUAAAUCAUAAUCUCUAUUGUUACUACUGAACAAUUGAUUGACCAACUACAAUUUUUUCAUCCCUGUAAUUGAUCCCUACAUGAGUCGUAUAAAUUGGUCAAUUAAGGAAAGCCGUAAAAAGCUUAGAUUGGAUUUGAGCUUUCGUUUGUGAAACCUUGUGUCCUUUGGUUUUAUUAAUAGCAUAUUAUUUUGUUUUGUUAUUUCUUAUAUUUGUUUAAGUGUGUUUCAGGUUUGUUAGUGUUCGAUGUUUCAGGUGAUGUCUUCUAUACUCUAUCUUUCUACCUUAUGACAUUGAAGACAAUGUCACGUUUUGGUUGGGGGGAGAGGGUAGUAGUUGACAUAAAAAAAAACUAACUUACUAACUAUUUUUACUAUUAUUAAAACCAUUUGACAGAACUGUUAUUAGGAUGGCAGAGUAAGGAGGAAUUUUAUUAACUCUUGAAAUGCAUCUUAAUAAAUAUUCUUAUCAAGGUCUAUCAGAAUACUUAUUAAAAUAUUCAGGUUUACAAACUCUCGUAUUGUUAUCACUUGAUUAUGCUCAUAUACUCAUUUAACAAGUAUUCUUAAACCUUCAUUUUCACACACACACUUUAACAUAUGAUUGUGGGUUGCACAUUGGAUUAUUAUAUUAUUUAUGUUCUUUUGUUAAAGGUAACAACUAAGGGAAAGGGAUAGUAUAUAAUUUGCAAAAAAAAAAAACACAAACAAAUUGAUAAUAUUGAUGAUAAUAAAAACGUAGAUAAGUUUGGUUUCGUAGCCUCCCUAACUUAAAACAAUUAAGCCCGAAUGGGUGUUUUAACACCUAAUACCCUAAAGUCAACUGAUUUGGGAGCUAUUGGCCCAAAGUUUGUUACAUGGGUUAAGGAGAAAAGCUUAAGGGAAUGAAACAUUGCACUAUCUACGUAUCAGUAUCUACAACCCGAGUUACUAAGCUCGUAGGGGUGUCUCAACACCUAAUGCCCUAAGACUAACUGGUCUGGGAGUCAUUAGCCGAAAGCUCGUUAUAUGGGUUAAAGAUGCAUUAUGUUUUAUGUUUUAAGUUAUAUAUAUAUAUAUUUAAAAAAAGAGAGAAAAAAAAAAGAUAAUAAUCUUAACCCAAGGAAGUUAACCUUAAACAUUAGAACAUAAUAUUGUUUUCUUCCAAUAAAAGCCUCAUCAUCUAUGUUUUCAUACAUUGGGCACAUAAAAAGGAAGGUUUAUUAAUAUUUUGUUUAAGAGGUAUUGAGCAGAUAUAUAAAUUUAAUGAGAGUUUGUUUAUUUGAAUAGAUUAAUGGAAGUUGAAUGAUGAAUGCCUUGCUUUGUGGAACUUGCAAAUUGUUUUUCUAUUUUAACACUUUAAUUACUAGGGACUAGUAAUAAGCUAGUUGGGGGGUGCGAUUAGUACUUAAAAGUGCAUUUUUAUCAAGGUUUUAUAUCAUUAUUUUGCACUUGAAGUAUCAAUAACUCAUUAACUAGAGCAUGUUUUAUAAUAUCAUGUCUAAUACUAUAAGAUACCUUUAAUUUAUGGUAAAUGUUCAUCUUAAAUACAGGCCUAUCACAUAAAUGAAGGGAUUGAUUGAUGAGUUUAACUACUGAAAUUGAGAAGACAAGGAGAGGGCUAAACGUAGAAAAGAGAUGCUGGUUCAUUCCAAACUAAAACAAUGUUCAGUCAUUAGGUCAUAUCCGGAGAUGUAGAUCUUGGAUUUCAGUUUGGUUUAUAUGGCUAGAAAGCUAAGACAUAGGCCUAAAAGAUUUAGGAACAGUCCAAGACUCAAUUAUGCUAUUUGGAAGUCCAAAUCUUAGCAUCAAAAGAGAAGUCUGAAUCUGUCCUGCAGCCCAGAUAUUGUUCAGUGUUCAGCCCAUAUCUCAAGUUCUAGAAGUCCAAAUGCACUGUUUCUUUUUCUGUUGGAAAGCUGAGAUAAUUUCCUAGAACUUUCAUGAAGACAGUCUGUUCAAAUUCUUACGUUAGCAAUGACGUUUUGUUCAGACAAGAAGAUAAUGAUUGUCACCAAGUCAAGAUGUGGCCACCCACUCAACAAUUAGUCAUCAAAUCAAUAGUUCCAAAUUCUGGCCUAUAAAAGGAGGCAUUUGUCAUGCAUUUAGGCAUCUUGGUUUUCAUAUCAAGAUCAUUUCCUUACUUGCAUUUUUUCUUUGUAGUUUUAAUGUUCUAGUUUUAUUUCAUGUUAUAGUUUCAUUAAUAUCUUGUUUAUGCCUUUCAUUUCCUUUACUAUACUUAUAUAAUCAUGUUCUCCUCUUGUUUAUUUAUGUUUCUCUUCUUCAAUAUGUUUAGUUAAGUUUAUUAUGUCAAGGUGAAAAGGUUUCAUUAAUGGUGUUAGGAUAAGUAUAAUAUAAACUCAAUAUGGACUUCAAUGAUUAUAUCUUAAACAACCUACUAUUAACAUGUCUUAUUAUUUUUAUCUUAUUAAUUCUUAAUACCUUGCUUGUUAAAUAGUUAAUCUAAAUUUGUGUUGUAUGACACUUGGCACAACAAAUACUUGGCACUUUCAUAGCCAACCGUAUGGUAUAACCUACACCUAUGCUAUGAAAGGAACUUGAUUUGUUAUUAACAUAAGUUAGCAUCAUGAAUUCCUGACAAUAUUUAAAAGUUUGGUGUUACUUAAAUAAGAUAAUUAAUAUGAUCAUGUUAAUAAUUUAUAAUGAGCUAUUAAUGACAAAUCAUCUGAUUGGAACCUCCUUUGUGUGUGGUUUCUAGUUGAGUAAUAAAAAGAGUUUAUAUUAUACUUAUUUGAAAUAACAUUAGUGGAUCCUCUAACCUUGACAACUGUUUUUAUCAUUGUUUAAUCUUCACAUUAAUCUUACAUCUCAAAGUCCUCUUUAACUCAUCAUCACCACCACCACCACCAUCAUCAUCAUCAUCAUUUAUAAUUUAUAUAGUUAAUCUCCCUAUGGUUCAACCUCGGUCUUGCCGGGUUAUUUAUUACUUCGACACUUCUACACUUGGAAGAAGACAUCAAUCUUUUGGUCGUGUCAGCAAUUCAUAAUGUUUUAAAGAAAAAAAACUACAAUGUUAAAUUUUCAACCAACUCAAUAUUAAAAAAAUAAAAUCAACAAAGAUAAUUUUGGAAAAAAUCAUAAAAAAAAACAAAAAAAAUCAUGAAAAAAACAAAGCAAAAAAAAACAAAAAAAACCAUGUAGGGAAACACUGUAGCAAUCCACAAUGUUUUAAAGGAAAAAAACUACAAAGCUAAAUUCUCAACCAACUCAAUAUUAAAAAAAUAAAAUCGACAAAGAUUAUUUUGAAAAAAAUCAUUUUAAAAAAUAGCUCCAACUCAUCCCACACAACACCAUAACAUUUCAACCACCACCAUAGACUAAGCAACAACAUAAACAAAAACUAGAAGCACAACCCCAUCCUCCACUCUUUCCUUUCCCGUGAUCACCUUCUUUCUCGCUACCAACCGAAGAGUGCUACAAUACUCGCUUCAUAUAGCGAGUACUGUUCAUAGUGUUAGAAUGGGUAGCCAAAUAGAGAGUAACAAUGUUAUUUUUUUUUCCACUCAUACAGUCAUACUAACUAUUAUAGCUCAGAUAAAGUUGAAGCCAUCCUUGCUAAAGCACAAGCAACACCCAAUGGAAUUGUCAUUGUGUCAUAGUAUAUUUAAAAGAGUAGGGGAGUUGAGGUGAGUUUUUUUACUUGGAUUGUGAUUGUGAUGUAGUUGCAUUGGUAUUUAAAAUCUCAUCUAAAAGAGAGAUAUUCCUUAGAUUAGUUGUUUUUAUAUGUUUUAAGUUUGUUAAUUUUUAGUUAAUGAAAUUUUAUGGACACAAUUGUAUUGUAUUUUUAAGUUAUUUAAACUAUGUAUGAAUUUUUAUUUGAAUUAUGUAUUUUAAGGUGUUAGGACUUCUAUAUUGUUUAUUUAACUUUUUAUUUUAAUUAUGCUAUAUUAUUAUUUAUUAUUUGACUGAAAUUAUCAAUAUAUAAUUAGUUAAAAUAUUUUACCUACGAUUUUACUAUUCAAGUUUAUAUUGUAUAUUCCGUGUCAUGUCAAAAAAAACAUUUUUGACAACUUCGGACUUAACAAUUCAUGUAAAAAAAAUUUUCUUGAUGUUUAAUAUUUUUUUUCCUACCCUAAAUGCGAGCAUGGAAUCUCCAAAUUAAGCAGCUCCAUCUUUUUCAUUGCAAAUUCAGUCGUUUUCAAAACCACAUCAAAUCUUGAAUUUUGCUAUUUCAACACCUUUAUUUUUGAAUUUGGAAUUACGUUUAAAAUAUUUAACUUGAAAAAACAUUAAAUUUGUAUUUUUUUAGUGUUUUCAAGUAAAAAACACUUCGCACUAAAAUACUAAAUACUAAAUACGCACAAAAACAUAGUUUGUUUUUGGAUAUGCAAAAUUGCUUCCCCUCGUUUCUCAUCAGCCAAGAAAACUACAAUAGCAUAUGAUAUAAAAGAUUAGCACACAUGACAAAUUCCCCUCAACAAAUUAUUAAGACUUUUACUUCUUUUGAAAACAGUCUCAAAAUAACAGUACUAGUCUAAAGUUUCAUGUAAAUUUUUUUUCUUGAUGUUUAAUAUUUUUUUUCCUACCCUAAAUGCGAGCAUGGAAUCUCCAAAUUAAGCAGCUCCAUCUUUUUCAUUGCAAAUUCUGUCGUUUUCAAAACCACAUCAAAUCUUGAAUUUUGCUACUUCGACACCUUUAUUUUUGAAUUUGGAAUUACGUUUAAAAUAUUUAACUUGAAAAAACAUUAAAUUUGUAUUUUUUUAGUGCUUUCAAGUAAAAAACACUUCGCACUAAAAUACUAAAUACGCACAAAAACAUAGUUUGUUUUUGGAUAUGCAAAAUUGCUUCCCCUCGUUUCUCAUCUGCCAAGAAAACUACAAUAGCACAUAAUAUAAAAGAUUAGCACACAUUACAAAUUUCCCUCAACAAAUUAUUAAGACUUUUACUUCUUUUGAAAACAGUCUCAAAAUAACAGUACUAGUCUAAAGUUGAGAGAACAUACCUGUCAAAAUCAUCAAUUACUCUCUCCCUUGCCUAUUAAAAGUUUAUAUGCCUUUGAAGUUUGAACCAUACCUCAAAAAACUAGUCUAAUCCAACCCUAAAAUAGCCCAUACCAUGAAGCCAAUCUUGCACAUACCUCAUUUUUUAUUUAACAGUUAUUUACAAAAAAAAAAUGGUAAAUUUUAUUUUAAUCCUUAUAGAUUCUAAAAUGUUCAACUUUAAUGAAUAUAGUUUAAAGCCCUUUCAUAUCAAUCUCAUAAUUCUAAAAAAAUUUCAUUAUAAUCAUGGUUGUUAAAUUAGUAAGAGAAGCGAAAGACCAUUUUUUUGGAUUUUCCCACUUGAGCUUUUACAAGAGAAGCGAAAGAAAUAGGAAAAAGAGAAAUUAAGACAAACAAAAAAAUAUAUUUAAAAAAUAAGGUUAAUUUCACUAAGUCUCCUAUAAUUUAAAUAUUCUCUUAAUUUACCAUGUUUUUCAAGAAAAUAUAUUCUUCAAUUCAUAAAACUUUAUAUUUUCAUGUUAACUCAUUGUUUGUUAACAAAUUUGUUGUUAUUAUUAUUGAAAAAUUCAAAGCUUGUAAGUAAAAUAAAAAACACAAAAUCAAAAAUAAAAUCAAUCAUGCUUCCACACUUACUCCACUAAAAUACCCAAUUAAAACUCCUUUACUCAAAAGCUCAUUUUCUAACCUCAAUCUAGAAAAAAUAAAAAUAAAAAUUAAGUACUUUCCUCUUUCUAUCCUUAUCUCACAUUUAAGUUCUCUCCCUCUUCGCUAACUGUCCUUCUCUGCAAAAUCCCAAAAACCCUAGGGCCCUUUCUGUAUUUUCAACACUCCCAAAAACUAAAAAAAACUUCCUCAUUUUUUUUUUUUUUAAAUCUCAAUUUCCAUAAGUUAGGGGUUUUUACAUUUCCAUACGGUUCAGUCACAAUUACACAUUGAUAGAUUAGGAUUAGAUAGCGAGAGUUCAAAUAAACCGAAAGAAAGACGCAAAUCGUGACCGUUAGGUUUUUUUUGGAUCUGAUCAUGGACGCACGAGAUUCGACAUCGAACCGAGACGUCUCGUCGAGCGGCGGCAGCGGCACCACCACCGGCGUCGGAGGAGGAGAAGAGGAUCCUAUCCUUUCCGUCACUGCCACGCUUGCCAAAGACGCUUGGUUACACUUUAACUCUCGCCGGUUCAAUGAGUGCCUCGAGGUUUUGUAUCAGCUAAAGCAGAAAAAGGAAGACGAUCCAAAGGUGAUAAUUACACAAAUAAUAUAAAGUCACUUUUUUUUUGUCGGAUUUUAUCUGAUUAGAAAUUAAGUUUACUUCGAGUAAAAUGUUGUAAUGGACUGUUAAUUUUGUGAUUUAACUCACUUAAUUGAGUUGCUGCCUUUUAAUUUUAAUGAAUUUUGAUUAAGUUAGUUAAUUAUUCACUCACUUAAUUUAGUUGCUACUUUUUAUUUCUUAGUAUUUUUUUAGAUUAAGUUAGUUAAUUAACUUGAAAAGCUUAAUUUUGCACUUUAUUUAGUUAGUUCAAAUUUAAGGACAGUAUCUAGGCGGGCACGCGAAUGCUGAAGUUAUGCAAUGUAUUAGGGUAUUUGGAAUAUGUAAUUGAUGUGAGAAUUUUCUCUUCUUUUCGUUUUUUCUCGUUCCUUUUAAGUUUGUAAUCUCUGGGUUAUGCUUUAUUAGGUACUUCGUAAUAUUGCUAUUGCGGAGUAUAGUAGAGAUGGUUAUCCAGAUCCAAAGAAGUUGCUUGAAGUGCUUAAUAACAUUGAGGUAUGUUAUUUUUGUUAUGUUUUUGUAAUAUUGGCUGGAGGGAGGCAGUGCUAUUAGUUUGGUUUUGGCUCUGUGUGAAGAUGGGUUUGUUCUUUAAUUAUCAGAGGAUAGAGAUUUCAAAGGGAAAAAUUAUGUUGCUGAAUUGAAUUUUACAUGCAAUGCAUUAGGGUAUUUGGAAUAUGUAAGGACAGUAUCUAGGCGGGCACACGAAUGCUGAAGUUAUGCAAUGUAUUAGGGUAUUUGGAAUAUGUAAUUGAUAUGAGAAUUUUCUCUUCUUUUCGUUUUUUCUCGUUCCUUUUAAGUUUGUAAUCUCUGGGUUAUGCUUUAUUAGGUGCUUCAUAAUAUUGCUAUUGCGGAGUAUAGUAGAGAUGGUUAUCCAGAUCCAAAGAAGUUGCUUGAAGUGCUUAAUAACAUUGAGGUAUGUUAUUUUUGUUAUGUUUUUGUAAUAUUGGCUGGAGGGAGGCAGUGCUAUUAGUUUGGUUUUGGCUCUGUGUGAAGAUGGGUUUGUUCUUUAAUUAUCAGAGGAUAGUGAUUUCGAAGGGAAAAAUUAUGUUGCUGAAUUGAAUUUUACAUGUUAGAUUUUGAGAGCAAGAGAUUUCUAGUGGUGCUGCAGUCUAUACAUUUAGUUCAUUGUGGAAGGAUGCUAUGUACAGUCAUAAGAAUCUGCUCCUGCUUUCACAGUAGCAAUCACGGGUAUAAUUUACGUGUAUAACAAGUGUUCAGCAUUGCAGAGGUCAUCUCUGAGACACACUUGGAGUUGUGGGCAUUGGAUAGUUUUAUAUGAUAGUUAUUUCUUUGAUAAUUUACGUGUGCAUAUUUUAUUGUAUUGAAAUUCAAUGGAGUAAUUUGGUCUGUCAUUUCAGUCUUGUAUUAGUAUCAUACUGUCAUUGUUUGUUUCUGUUGAUUUCUUGAGCUAGAUAUGGUCUUCUAUCCUGCCAUAUGUAAGUUGGAAAGCUGUUAACUCAGUAAUGUAUUUACUAGAUUGUAUUUUUAUGCCAUUGAAAAUGAUCCUGGAAUUGCUUACUUGAAUCCUAAUCAUGUUUGCAUCAAUGUAUAAAUAGAUUAUUUUGGGAAUGAAUUACCAUCUCAUAAUACCCAUUUAGGUAUCUGCUUCAAUCUAUUAACAAUGUACCACCUGGAUGUUUUCCCUACUAUGCUGUGUUUGGAAUUUUCUGUGAGCUGGUAUGAUACUAAAAGAAAUCCAUUCCAACCCAUUUCAUUUUUUGAUACCUCCCUCUUCUUCGUCCCUUAAUAUUCAAUUUCAAUUUUUUUUCUAUCAAAUUCAAUCUACAUUCUUUUAAUUGUUAUUUCUUUUGUUUUGGAUACUUUUUUUAUUCAAUUUCACCCCUCAAUAUUUUAUUUAUUUAGAAUUUUGCUUUGUUAUUUUUAGGGUUUGCCAUAUUGUGAAAAGAAUCACAAUGAUAAUAAAAGGGGGGGGGGGAGUCCAAAUGUGGGCUAAAUGCCUGUUUCCGAAAGAAGAAAAAGUCCUAAAGUCACACGUACCAAUUGAAGGGACGGUGGGCCGAGUCACAAUAAUUUUAAUUCUAGUAUAGUAUUUAACAUCAACCAUGGAUCCUAAAGGCUAAAGUCCAUAUAUAUAUACUCAUAAGAAAAAAAAAAAAAACUAUCGUGCUUGCCUAUCUCCUUAAAAGUUUCGAAUCCUUAAACAAAGUGUUUGCCUUUUAGGUCCAAUUAGGGUUUUGGGUUUGCUUCCAAGCCCAAAAUCGAUCUCUCUCUAGUUUGUUUGCCUCCAUUCAUUCGUAUCAGUGGUUGUCUGCAUAGCAUGUUGAAAAUAUUCUGUAUGAGUAUAUCUCCUUGCAAUUUAAAUUGUCCAUGCUUCCUGCAUGAAAUCCAUUUGUGAUAUCACCACAUUGAAAUUAGUAUUUUAUGCCGUGUUCAAAUCUUAUAAUAAAUGUGCAGUCACGUUUCAUUUUGCUGUAUAAAGUAGGAAUUCUUUUUUUUUUAACCAGAUUGCAACACUUGAAGAGAAUAAUCAGCUGAUGACACCUCCAGAAAACCAGAUGGCAACCCUUGAAGACAAUAAUCACUUGAUUACUACUCCAGAAUACCAGCUGGCAACCCUUGAAGAGAAUAACCAGCUGAUUACUACUCCAGAAUACCAGAUGGAAACAUUUGAAGAAAACAAUCAUUCUAUGCCUGCUCCUGAAACACAGCCUAACAAGAGGAGGAAAAGGAAGUCCAUGGUUUGGGAACACUUCACCAUAGAAACUGUAAGUGCUGAUAGUAGAAGGGCAUUCUGUAAGCAGUGCAAGCAAAGCUUUGCAUACAGCACAGGUUCAAAAGUAGCUGGUACCAGCCAUCUUAAACGUCACAUUGCCAAGGGAACUUGUCUAGCACUACUACGCAAUCAGGGGAAUCAACAAACACCUGGUACACCAGGGAUGAAUGGAAAUGGCAGUAUGUCUGAUCCACCAAGACGUCACUACAGAUCCCAUAGCUCAGCCUACAUUUCAUUUGAUUCAGACCGUUGCCGCCCUGAAAUUGCCAGAAUGAUGAUAAUCCAUGAUUACCCUCUUCACAUGGUCGAACAUUCUGGAUUUGUAACUUUUCUCAAGACUCUUGAACCCAGAUUUGACAUGGUGAGCUUUAAUAUUGUCCAAGGAGAUUGUGUCUCAAGUUACUUGAGGGAAAAGCAAAAUGUUAUGAAGUUCAUUGAGGGUUUGCCCGGACGUGUUUGCCUUACACUGGAUGUAUGGACAUCUAGCCAAAGCUUAGGUUAUGUGUUUAUAACAGGACACUUCAUUGAUGGUUAUUGGAAGCCACAGAGGCGGAUUCUCAAUGUUGUGAUGGAACCGAACCCUAACUCAGAUGCAGCUCUUAGCCAUGCUGUUGCUACUUGCCUAUCUGAUUGGAGUUUGGAAGGCAAGCUAUUUUCUAUCACUUUCAAUCAUCCAGUGGGUGAACCUGGGCUUCAAAACCUCAGAUCUCUACUCUCUGUAAAAAAUCCCCUUAUCAUCAAUGGUCAGUUAAUCCUUGGGAACUGCAGUGCUCGUACUUUAAGCAACUUUGCAAAAGAAGUGCUAUGGGCAGGGCGAGAGAUCAUUAAGAAAGUCCGUUACAGUGUAAAGUAUGUGAAGACCUCAGAAUUUCAUGAGCAAAAGUUCCUUGAGCUCAAGGAACAGCUUCAAGUCCCCAGUGAAAAAGACCUAUCUCUUGACAACCAAGCUCAAUGGAACACAACGUAUCAGAUGCUGGUUGCUGCUUCAGAGUUGAAGGAAGUAUUUUCUUGCCUAGAUACUUCCGAUCCUGAUUACAAAGAGGCUCCAUCCAUGGAAGACUGGAAGCGGGUUGACAUUCUAUGCACGUACUUGAAACCUCUUUUUGAUGCAGCCAACUUCCUUGCCUCUAGAACUAACCCAAACCAGAAGACAUUCUUCCACGAAGUCUGGAAGAUGCAUGAGCUGUAUCAUUCUAUUACAAGUCAUGGGGAUCCCUUUGUCAUCAGUCUUGCUGAAAUAAUGCAAGAAAAGAUAGACAAAUAUUUGAAGGAGUGCAUCCUAUCUUUGGCAAUUGCUGUAGUCUUGGAUCCUCGGUUUAGGAUGAAGUUGAUCGAGUUCAGUUUUGUGAAAUUCUAUGGUAAAGAAGCUAGCAAAUACAUUAAGAUUGUUGAUGAUGCGCUCCAUGAGCUUUUUCUCGAAUAUGCGGCGCUUCCUUUCCCUCUUACGCCAGCUCACGCUGAAGAUGGAAAUUUUGAGAACAUGAAGACUGAAGAAAUUUCAUACAAUGAGCUCACAGAUUUUGAUGCGUAUGUGGAGACUACUAGCCAAAAUAAGAAGUCGGAGCUGGAGCAGUAUUUAGAAGAGUCUUUGUUGCCUCGCUUCCAAGAGAUGGAUGUACUGAAAUGGUGGGAAGAGAACAAGCUCCAGUAUCCAGUUCUUUCAACAAUGGCUCGUGAUAUAUUGACCAUGCAGGUGUCUACUGCUGAUCCUGAUUCUGUAUUUGAUACCGAGAUCAAAGAGCUGGAUGAGUAUCGGAGUUCUUUGAGACCUGAAACCGUGGAAGCCCUUGUAUGUGCAAAGGACUGGCUUCAGUACAGAUCUGCUACAGAAGUUUCUAAUGCUCUUGUGAAAGUAGAGGAUCUUAGAUCUUAGUGCUCAGUGUCUCUGACUAUAGGUUCCUUGUUAGUCUCGAUUAUAAUCUUCUACUUCUACAUUAGGCUAGAUUUUGAUCUAGAUUGCUUGAACACGAGAACUUCAGUUUUUACAGUAGCUUUUCUGAUUCUAUGAGUUCCUUGUACUUUGUUUGCUGUGGCUUAGCAAUUAUCUAUUGUCAAGGCUAAAUAUUAACAGGUGCUGGGACUAAUUAUUGAUGUCCAGCUAACCACAUAAUUGAGAAUCAAACCUGUAACAGGAGAAACAAAGGCU